UGAUCAUAAAUGUUCUUCCUUGAGCUGCGUCACCCCGCUGUAGUCCGUAAUGGACUGGCCUGAGGUCUUGUUACAAACAAGCGGCUGCUGGAAGAGAGUAGGUGAGUUGUGUUUAGUCUCUUUGCUAAAGAAAUGAGUCAAAGUUAAAAAGAUGUUUGGUGUCUAGUACUAUGGCUGUGACCCUAUAUGUCCUGUUGAUGAAGUUAGGUGCUGUUCUGAGCAUUAUUUGUGGCUAUAGAGUGGCGUUUUGGUUGAGCGUGUGGUUCUCUGUAUUACUAUCCUGCGGUCGUUACUAAAGUUGGUAUAACUAGAGAAGCAAGCUGUUUGCAACAUUCAUCUCUCGACAGAGUGUCUAAUUCGGUGUCACGGUGUGUUUGACCCUAAAUUAAUUUUACACCAGAAUAUCCCUUUAGGUUGAUUCAAAGCCUUUCAAAUUAAAAGCGAUUACACUUGGAGGUACGUACUUUUACCUAAGACAAAAAUACAAAACGGGAUGACCACUUCAAACAAACCGGAGCGCCGUUCCUCUCAGUGGAGGUCCGCAGUCAGACCGCUCUAAAAGUGUUGGCCCGUUAAAUGACCCAAAAAUCACCUUUAAUAAGAUGCAAACAGAGCGUCACCACUGCAGGCAAGACUUCCCAUCCAGCCCCUGCAACUCACAUGCAACCAAAACACACUGGCUACCUCGUGUACUUCCUAAAACCCACAGCUUACACUCACAGAACUGUAAAACAAAAUAGAAGUGUUUUGUAGUGUGUAACUCUUGUCAAAGCGCUGGUGGGUUUUGGCCUCCAGGCUUGCCGUAGGCUCCUUCUUUGAGCUGAGUUUUUGCUGUUUAGUCUCUGCACUCGUCCUCUAAAAGUGCUGUACAUUUCUUCAGCUCAGGCAGAAAUUAUUGAUUAUUUGGGCCAAAAAUCCUGCCAAGAGCCGGACCAAAACAGAACAGUCUGUUUUUUUUUUUUUACCCCCUGUUACUUAAAAUUCGGCCGAACAUUGCAUCUUCCAGAAGUGAGCACAACUUCUGAAGAAAGCGUUUGUUCAUGUAUUUUUAACAACUUCUACUUUUUUAUCUCUACAUAUUAUAUCUGUCUUUGUUUUAUCGCUGUUUGAUAUUGUUUUUAAGUUCGCAGGAUGACUGAGAGGUUGUGAAAUUUUACGUUUGAGCUUCGUCGAGCUUGAUCACUCUCUGUGUAACUCACGGUUUUAUGGAACAAAUAAACUAUUCAGUCCAACAUUGAUCAACAGAAACAAGCCGAUCGAUGUAGGAGGAUCACAGAGAAAUGCAAACAACAGCAAAACACAAACAGAAUCUCAAAUUCAGAAAGGAGGCAACAUAAAAGCUUCAGUGGAGGAGAUGUGCAAAAUAAAUCCACAUCCAAAAAUCCUGUUCAUGACGUUUGUGUUGGAGCUCGUCUGUGCAGAUCUUUUUAGGUCUAUAAGUGGAUCUGAAUCUUUAUAAACUGUCAGGAUUCAGCCUGCUUACCAGAGGUGGGGGCUUGAAGACUCGACUUGAGACUCGACUUGGACUAGAGUCCCGUUUUUGACUUCCUUGAUGAAAUCAAGAAAAAAGUCUUUUCAAGUCACUUAAUACCUUACAGCCCAAACCGUUUAAAAAGUGUCGCAUCAACUAAUAGUCAGGAAUGACGGCCGUUGGUAACACCGUGUUGUGUUGCCAUGUCUGCUUAUUCCCCUCAAAAAAAAAUUUGCUUGUUUUUGUCUUGUUUCUGGAGGUCUGUUAACUUAUUUCUCUCACCAAACUUGGCAACACUGUCUCAAACUCUAGCCUCCCUCAUAACGACAACACCGGGAGGACUGAACAUAAAUCGCUCGCUGGUAUUGCCCGCCUGUUUCCACGUGUUUCCUCGUGUCUCUCUUUUGUUUUGUUUUGGAACAGUGAAUUAGAGAAUCAGUUUAAUGUUUAAUUGUAUUUGAGUCUUCCUUAUUUUUGUGCACAUUGUUUAAGUUUCCAGUUAUUGAAGUUUAUCUGAUUAUUUUUUGUAUGACAUGUAAAAUAGUUUGGUUAAAGCUGCACUAUGUAACUUAACACAAACAAGAACCCUUGUUUAAUAAUAAAUGCAAAUAGGGAAAAAUGCUCAUGAUUUAUGUAAAUCUUUACAAAUAACAAAUGGUUUAUGGCUUUGAUAUGACUUAUUUUUGACUUGAAAGAAACAGUAAGGACUUGGUUGGGACUCGAAACAAAAAGUUCAAGACUUGGACUUGACUUGAAACUUGUCUGUGUUGACUUGGACUUGACUGGAGACUUGAGAGCAAAGACUUGAGACUUGACUUGGACUUACAACAUAAGGACUUUCCCCCACCUCUGCUGCUUACUGUAAUUUAAGUCUCCAUCAUAUAAGUGAGUCCACAACCUCAAAGGUGAAUCAGAGGUGGAGAGGACUGUGAAGGAGGCGUGAGAGAAAAUGAUGGGCCGGAGCAAACACGCCAUGACUUCUGGAAAUAAAGCAGCAGUGUUAUAUUUUCCUUAAAAUAAAACAGAGAAUAGAAAAUGGGUUUAAGUUAAUGUAAAAAAAAUGCAGAACAGACCAGAGGGGAGAUAAAGACAAAGAAAAAAGAUGUGCUGCAAUAAUAAAAUAAACCAACGUUUGUACACAUGCAUUAUUUGUUAAUGGGAUCCAAUAUUAUGUCGACUGCUAUUCAGGGCGCUCCACAGUUCGUUUUAAUCCUGCAGGUGCUUCCUAUGACUGUAACUGCGCGGCUUCAAUCCGCUGAUCGUCUUUGGAGGAACAAAAAUAGUCCAGCGUCAACCCAGCAGUGGUGUAAUGUUAAAAUGAGCUCUCUCUAAGAGGCUGUUUCAGCCUGUCUUAUGACUCUGAUUUUCUCUGAUGUGACUGUGAAGUGCUCUGUGAUGGGAGUUCAGCGGCUCAUUUCGCUCUUACCGUUUCUGAAUGUUUGCUCAUUUAACGCCGUUUCCUGCUUUAGUCGUUCUGACGAAUCACAGUAAGCAUCGCUCUUACCCUGAUAACUCACCUGCAGUUUGUUUUCUAACUCCUGUUUCCAUGCAAUAAAUAAAGUCGAGCUCUCAUAUUUCUGUCAGGUCUUCCACAGAAAUGAGUUCAGGUGCAAGGCCUUUUUUUUUGUUUUGUUUGUUUUAGCAUCUUCAUCAUGUUUGGAUAAAGUAUUUUACUGUUUCCAGGCUUUUUGCAUGAGGUACUUCUGCAGCCAUGAACCAAAUCUCCCAUCACCUGUGCCUCCCCUGUAGCUUUUAUCCUGCAAAAUAUUUUAUAUGUAAAUAUGAGUAAAAGUGGCCGAGAGAUAAACUCUGAACUAUCAUCCCCACUCUGAUUCAGUGCUGCUGCAACUGCAAGAAACACUGGAGGGCAGCAGCAGCCUGUGCAUGAAAGAGAGCAGCUUCAAAAUCUGAGACUCAGACCAGGAGGAGUGGAGUUCAGGUUUUUCUCUCCAGGGUCUUCUUACAGACACAGAUGGGGGGUUUGACAGGUAACAGGUCUUUACCAAUCAGUGAUCAAUCAGCCAAGAUAAUUCUGCAUCUGAAAAUACUCCAGUGAAAAAAACAGAUUGUGAGGGAAGAGAAAGGUGCAUCAUUCCCCGUGUUUAUGAUAGAGAGGGAAUUUUUAACAGGGAAUUUGGAGCACAAGGUGGACAAUCAUCAUCAUCAUCCUCAUCAUCAUCAUCAUCAUCAUCAUCAUCAUCAUCAUCAUCAUCAUCAUCAUCUUCAUCAUCAUCAUAAUGGUUUGGUGAUCAUCAUCAUCCUCUUCAUCAUACUGAAUAUCAUCAUCAUCAUACUGAUCAUUAUUUUCAUCCUAAUCAUUAUCAUCAUCAUCAUCAUCAUCAUCAUCAUCAUCAUCAUCAUCAUCAUCAUCAUCAUAUUGAUCAUUGUCAUCAUCCUCUCCAUCACUAUCAUCCUCAUCAUCCUACUAAUCAUUAUUUUCAUCCUAAAAAUUAUCAUCAUCAUCAUUCUCUUCAUCUUCUUCAUCAUCAUCAUAAUCAUAUUGAUCAUUUUCAUCAUCCUUAUAAUUAUCCUCAUCAUCAAACUGAUUAUUAUUAUUAUUAUUAUUAUUAUUAUUAUUAUUAUUAUUAUCCUAAUCAUUAUCAUCAACAUUCUCUUCAUCCUCAUCUUCAUACUGAUCAUAAUCAUCAUCCUCUUCAUCAUCCUCAUUUUGUUUAUCCUCCUCCUCAUCAUCAUACUGAUCAUUAUCAUCAUUAUCAUCAUCCUCAUAAUCAUCAUCUUCAUCAUCAUACUGAUCACUAUUAUCACUCUAAUUGUUACCAUCAUCAUCAUUCUCUUUAUCUCCUUCAUCAUACUGAUCAUUAUCAUCAUCAUCACCCUCAUCAUCAUAUCAAUCAUCAUCCUCAUCCUCAUAAUAAAUAUCCUCAUCAUCCUAAUAAAUAUCAUCCUCCUCAUCAUCACUAUACUUAUCAUUAUAAUCAUCAUAAUUAUCAUUAAAAUCAUCAUCCUACUAAUCAUUAUUUUCACCCUAAUAAUUAUCAUCAUCAUCAUUCUCUUCAUCUUCUUCUUCAUCAUCAUAAUCAUAUUGAUCAUUAUCAUCACCCUUAUAAUUAUCCUCAUCAUCAAACUGAUUAUUAUUAUUAUUAUUAUUAUUAUUAUUAUUAUUAUUAUUAUUAUUAUUAUUAUUAUCAUCAACAUUCUCUUCAUCCUCAUCUUCAUACUGAUCAUAAUCAUCAUCCUCUUCAUCAUCCUCAUUAAUAUCAUCAUCAUCAUCAUUCUCUUUAUCCCCUUCAUCAUACUGAUCAUUAUCAUCAUCAUCACCCUCAUCAUCAUAUCAAUCAUCAUCCCCUUCAUCAUACUGAUCAUUAUCAUCAUCCUCAUCCUCAUAAUAAAUAUCAUCCUCCUCAUCAUCACUAUACUUAUCAUUAUAAUCAUCAUAAUUAUCAUUAAAAUCAUCACCCUCAUCAUCACCCUCAUCUUCAUCGUCAGCAGCUCUGUCAUUUUAAAAACACUAACCAGAGACAGCAGCUCCAGCUCUGCCCUAAUAAUCCUUUUUUUUAAUAUGAGAUGUUCUCAGAUGUUACUGUCAGCUCCCCGCUGGGAACUGCAGUCAGGAUGGACCUGUUUACAGCUGUUACCGUGGCAACAGCAUAUGGACGGGACAACCAGAUUGGCCUUGUGUGUUUGCUGAGACGAUGGUCAGGCUGCAUAUUUCUAAAAAGGACCGGCGAUGAAAAAACAUGUUUUUUUUUUCUUCUGUUUGUUUGUUGUUUUUAUUUAGAUGACGGGGAACAUUUUACCGACCAGUUUCUCCAAAAAUGAAACAAAAAUCUCCGAUCAAAGUGAACAAGACGGAGGUGGCCUCCAGCUUCAAACACAACAUGACUGCAUUUGUUGUCAGCAUUCAAAGGAAGCUAUGAAAGAAGAAAACGGAGGACCGUAGUGACUGCUCCAGGUAGACAUGUCGAGAGGCAUCUUCUUUUUAAAGUACAUAAAAAAACGAAAAGAGUUGAUUUGUUGAAUCAUCUCUCCGUACUCCAAACUCUCUUCAGUGUCUCUCGGUCUUGUUGCUCAAAGCCGUCUUUUCAUUAGUCAUGAAACUGUUGUUCAACAAACACAAAUAAAAACAGAAACUUUUAUUUGUGCCACUUCCUGUUUUCAGAGCAAAGACACUGACUGCAUCAGCCGAUCAGUUAUCACUUUUAGAUUUCACUUUUUUGUCCACCAAGGUAGGUGUGUAAAACCACCUGAAUCAAGAAUCGUCAAUAACUGGAAGAUAAACAGUCAUUAAUAGUUGAAGGAUUAAACCUGAUACCAGAUUAAUUCUUCUGAUAUAUUUGGUUAAAACGCUCUCCUGAAUUUUUAAAUCUUUCUUUUUUAGAAAAGCGGAAAUUUCCCCGGAUUCGUGACCUUAUCAGGCGAGGAAACUCACAUACUCUGGUCGACUCGCCCAGCAGCGACUUUCACUGCCAGGUUAAAUCACUGCGUGUGACAGGUGGCUGACAGGCAAAACACACAAAACAAACGGCAAAACACACACACACAUACACACACGAUGCCGAGGAAUACGUCCAACUGCAGGGACAGAUGCAAAUGGCUGGCUGCCUGGAACAGCGUCGAUGCUAACGGCUGCUACGCUCCACGGAUAGAUCUGCUGUUAGCUCCUGUGUUUGUCAAAAAGACGUCAGAACAGCUGCAGAGAAAUCAGCUCCGAAAAUCAACGUCAGCUGCAGGGGAAGGAUGCUGCCUCCUCUUUUCCACCCUACAAACAAACUAUUUCAUUCUUGAUUCAAACUAGUCUUUAUUUUUUUAAACUUUGACGACUUUACCACGGUGUUUGGUGUCGUUUUUCAGCCCCAGGUAACGCCUGUGUUGUUCCAUCAGUCUGAACGCUCUCAAACAUAUUCCCCAAGCCGUGUUUAGAAAUGUUUGGGUGACCGCAGCCUGUAUAAAGAAGUGAAAUAGCCUCCAGGUAUGAAUGCAUGUUACUUUAGAUUUUCUGAAUGAGGCGACUGGGGGUGUUUAUAAAGUGAAGUGUGCCAUAAAAGUGUAGAAGCUGCAGCACCUUCACGACAAUGUUCAGAAACGGGAAAGAAAAUAAUAGAUUUCUCAACUUUAUUGGAUUAAAACGAAAGCGUGAAAACUCACAGUUUGAACACAUGAAUCAGACAUACUUAAAGCCGUGGUGUAACAUCUACUUGCUGAUUCGUGGAGACCUUCCAUCACGCCGUCUGGGUUCGCAACUCACUUUGAGAUUUCAGACUCCUGGGGUCUCUUUUGUAAACGCUUGUUACGACCCGGGAGAAUGGUUAGGGGAAGAUGGGAAGUAACAAUAAAUUAAAACGGGCAGGAGAGACUAAAUGAAGAGUGGGAAACAGGGAAUCAGAAUAAUUGAGUAAUUUAUUUACAAUCAAAAACGAAAAACAAAAAGAUCAAACAACUAAAAGCGAGCAUGAGGCCGGUUAUAAGAAACACCACAGGCUCCUGCCACCGGAAAACCUGGACUUCAAAAAACACCAAAACGCACAAGAGUGAAACACAGUCAACAAUCGGGUGGUCUGCAAAGUUAAUCAAAGUUAGUUAAUUUCAUGAGAAAAUACGAGCGUGUCAUCCCUUCAAUAUUUCACCAUCUUUGAUUGGCUUGUUUCUUGAAAUCACAGAGGUAAAAACAGACAUUAACCCGCCGGUUAAACUCACAAAGACUUCGUCCAGUUUCAGGUCGGGUAACUGUUGCACCAUUUGCACAGAGCAUGUAAAGUGAAUGUUCAUGUAUUAAUCCAACUAUACUGGGUGGUAUAGAAACAGGAGCUCUGCAUAAUGGUUUCAACCCUUCAUUUUUUGCAGUGGUUACUUGGAAACCCACUGAGAAUGUUUUGGUCGAAUAGACGUCUAAAUGUAGACUAGACGACUGAUCUAAAAUCAGGCUACUUCACGUCUAAAAAUGAAAGUUUUUUAGACAUUUAGACUAAAUCUAAAUCUGGUCUAUCUCUAUACUACACUGUAUAUUGCUCAACAGCCAUCAUAAUUAUUUUGGUUAAGUACUUUGAGAUCGGUUUUGUUACUCACAGUUGCUUUCUGAAAUAAAUAGUUAUGGACUAAUGGGUUAAAAUGCAACGUCUAAAUCUCGUCUAAAAAUACACAGAAUCUAGACGGUUGAAAUUAGGUCUAAAAAAAACCCUCAAAUUGCUCAGUGUUAAGAUUUAAGAGCAAAGGCAGCCUCUGUAAUAUACAAUUAUUUAAGGUUUCAUAGAAACGACUGAAAGCGUGGGACGAAUAAGAAAGAAGAAACCACAUGAAAUAAUCCUUCUAUCGUCCUCCACGCCUCCCUGAGACUACAUGUUGGAUAUCAUGACCAAACACUCCGAUAUCUGUCAGCCUUUGUUUGCACCAAGAGUUGAAAUGAAAGCAGAAACAGACUUCGUAUUCUUCGUGUGCCAAGUCGAGUUCACUGAGAGAGGCACGAACGGGAACAGCUGGAGGUGACUUGAAUAAACCAUCUCCAGCGUUUCUUCCAAGAACUCGAGCGAGAUGAAACUGAAUCAGAGAUGGAGAUGAAGAAGCAGAAUCUCUUCAAGUCUUCUCGAAGUGGAUGACAGGGCGGGGACGUUCAACAUCCUCAUGAAACUAAAUCCAGAUCAUGAUGAAUGCUAUCUGCUUCUAUUGGACUCGUGACGUUGUAGGAAGAUUUGAAAUACAGCGUAGUUAAGGUCGACCUUCCAGCGCAGGACUUCUUGAAGACCCUCGAAACCUGAACAGACAUAGACCAGCUACAACGGAGAUUAAAAACCCACUUCAAUGACAAUCAUGUUUUUCUUGUUUUUUACAUGUUCAUAUAUUUAUUUUUCUGACGCUACAGGACAUAUCAUGAGGGAAAAAUAAGCGCGAAACUGCCAAACUCGGAGAAGAGAGAGGAAGAUCGCGGAGUGUGCAGAGCAGCGCUGUCUCCGCCCACGACUCAGAGGCGAAUUACUAAUGAUCUACUGAAGAAGGCUGUGUCCAAAAUGGAUCCCUAACCUUCAUAUAGGCGACUAUAUGGGGGUUAACGGCAUUUUGAGGGGUGUCCGAAACCUGAGGGAUCAAUUCCAAUGCCCCAUAUAGGCGACUCAAAAUUCACCUAUAGAGCAUUGCAAAAUGUAGUUACCAUCCGAUGGUCACUCACCGGUGGUCGGCAUCCUAUCAUGAAUUGAGUGAUGCGUCAUGCAAGCAAGAAGAGACAGAACCCGAGCUCUAUUUGUCAUUUUCAGCGUAAGUUUUUUAUCGUCACUUCACUCACAAGUUUUCGAGAAACAAUUGUUUACUGCGUGAUAAAGUCUCGUGCAACAAUAUGACGCAGCAAACAAUAUUCAGCAUGAAAAUAUAAGGCCUUUUAAAUAAAUUAUUAAUUUAUUGUUAUUUUAUUUUUUUAUUUUUUCAUUUCACGAACAUCCUGGAAAAACAAACACAUCUAUACAACAUCAAAAAAUUCAAGAGAUGUGAAAACAACAGACGCAACUUCAGACGCAGCAGUCUGAGCAGUGACGUGACAACGGUGCGUCGUGUAGUGUCUGAAAUGUUCUUUGAUUGAGCUCACGACAUAGUCAGAUAUAUAGUGACUCAGAUAACAUGAUUGUUUGGAGAAUUUUGGGGUUGGGCAUCCCUACAGUGAUUUUGGCUAAAAACUUCAGAAUCACAGUUUAAAGACCACUGAGAAAACUUUAAGUAGUGAAAAGAAAAACGAUCGGAGUAGAACUUAAAACUGUUUGUAAAUGUUUCCUUGAACCAGGCUGUAGAAAUGAACAUUUUAUUACAUUUCCACUCCUUAAAUUUGAUCUCACUGAAUCAAUCACAUCUAUACAAAGAAGCUGCAUUAGCUACCUUGAUUGUAAUUUGACAUCGCCGCCAUAUUGGUGAGGGCAUUUUGGGGCGGCAGUAGCUCAGGAGGUAGAGCGGUCGUCCAAUAACCAGAAGGUUGGCGGUUCGAUUCCCCCCUAUGCUGAGUCUGUCUGUUGUGUCUUUGGGCAAGACACUUAACCCACCUUUCUCCCAGUGUGUGUCCUCACUGGUGUAUGAUUGUCAGUGUGUUGUGCUGGUCGGAGAGGCUGUAGGCGCAGCCAUGUUUCCUUCAGUCUGCCCCAGGACAGCUGUGACUACUAAGGUAGUUUACCACCACCAGGGUGUGACUGUGCGAGCGAAUGAAUGAUGUAUCCAAUGUAAAGCACUUUGAGGGUCUCUGAUGAAGCGCUACAUGAAAUCUGAGUGUCGUUUAAUGACCGUACUGGUUUGGUGAACACACUGACCUAUCCUGUCUUGUCAAAGUUAUAAAACAUUAAACACAGAUCCGUCUGUUUUCUUCAAAAGUCUGCAGUUUUGUUUUUUUUUUCUUCCACCAAACCUCCACCAGAUGAAUCCUCUGAUAAGACGCACGCGCAGCCUCAGAGGAUGAACCGAUCCGACUUCCCUCUGCUCAGAAAGCUCCUUUCACUCAGAACUGAAAUCGUGAUCUUGAGCUGUUAAAACUGCAGAUAAACCGGCUUCAAAAGCAGCUCUGUUUCAGAGCGAAGUGAGUCACAAAUAUGUGGAUAAGAUGGCACAAGAGUCAAAUAGACGCCUGAAGGAACGAGCGGACGUGGAGAGACGAAAAAAUGUCUGCUGUGUCGAAUUAGCAUGUUGGUUUUUUGUUGUUUGUUGGAGAUAAAUGUUGAUUUACUCUCCGGGGUUCCACAGUCUGAGAAAAGCCCGGACGAGUUUUUUUUUCACAUGUGGGGUCAAAUGUUGUAAAGCUCAGUGACAGAGCACACUGUGGUCAAACACCAGCGGCUAGCAGGCAAUUUACUCCACACCAACAUUUAUUAGAGGCUAAGCUGCUGCUGCUGAUGGAGGUUUAUCUUCCAGGUUCGCUUCUGUCUCCCUGAUCCUCCGCUCAGACCUCCUCCUUCUCGUCUUUGUCUCUCCUCAUCCCUCUCUGCUAACUCCGACUCCAAAAUGCUCUUUUUUUUUUUUCUUUACUGUAUCGAACGUUUCUGAUGUCGGAUUUUUUUUGGCGUCUUUUUCUCAUUUCAGAUGUCUGCUGCUUUACAAAGCCUGUUUAUCAGAGUGAAUUGACAUUUCAUUUUCAUUUCGUAACUCAGUGAGACAGAUCCAUCCCGCUGACAUCCCUUUCUGCACACAGAAAAUGUGGUAGCAAUUUGAGGGGGCAGUUAGUGUUUGUGAUGUUGAUUGAAGUAUUAUGUCUAUUUGAGAGUUUUCUGAACCAUUCAUGCUCUUCGUCACAAUCUUCGUCUCUCGGGAGGUGGAAAAAGUACAUCCUCGUUCUCAGGGAAUGAAUCUGCUGGUAUUGAACUUGGUGUUUGAAUGACUAACAUGUACAGAAAGCUUCUGAAAGCUGUCAGGUUGUGUAUUAUCUACAACUUGAAGGCGAAUGCGACUAUUAAAAAGAGACCCCAUCUCUGAUUCUGAUAUUGAAAUGCUCAGAUUGUUAUCCGUCCAUAUAGAUGUAGACGCUCAUAUUCGAGGAGGAGAGACAGCUACUUCCUCUGAAAUGAGAAAUUGCUCUUCAAGAGUCAGUCAGCAGCGUAUUUGUUAACCGUUUAUUCACCACAAACAACUCAAACCUGCUACGGCAACAGGUUUUCUUUUGUAAAUAAUGCGUCUGCUCAAAACGCAUGCUUUUAUUUUUAAUCUCCAUGUUUCAAUCAGUGAAUAAACGCUGUGUUUUUGAACGUUCCUCUGUCUGUUGAGAAGGCAGCUCUAGUGGACACAUGAGGAACUGCAGUUUCUUUGCAUGUUUCUGCAGUUUCCUACCGGAUCCGUUUGUGAGGCGAAUUUUGUGGCGGAUUACAGACAGCGGGACUCGCAAGAUCUCACAAGAACCUGUGGAUUCAUGUUCAAUCUCACGAUAACGAGUUGUCUCUAUAAAGACAGACACAUAGACAUAUGAGCAGUAGAUUGUGUCCUUCCAGAGGAGGAAAUCUACUUCUAGACUUCUAGAAUCAGCAUCUCCUCAUCCAUGGUGUCAUCGGGGUGAAAUGACGUCUAAAAACCUUUCACUUGUUCGUCUCCGCCCGUUUGCAUGGUGUGAAAUACGAUCCUCCUGAAACACGGAGUGUUUUAUUUUGAAAAGAAGCCGGAUGUUUUAUUUUGUCUCUGUGCCCGACUUCCUUUCCAGCACGGGUUAAUCUGUGCUGAAUUUAUCCAGCAUGCUCCGGCGUCUGGAAAAAUUAGAACUCUUGCGAUCCGCAGCGGAGCGGAAAGACGCCGGUGGAAAUUGACAAAUUAACUUGAAUGGUUACGAUCAGCUACGGUCAGCGGAUACGAGCUUUUCGUAGCCGUUCCGGAUGUGGUGGAAAUUAGGGGUCAAACACACUGGAUGUGUGUUGAGCGCUCUGUGUCAGCUAUGUUCAACUAUGUUUCUGAUCGCCGCAGCAGCGCACACAGGACACGUUGCAGCAAGUAUCUGCUAAAGAUAUGCACCGAGUCUAUUUUCUCUGCUCCACGCCUCCAACAUGCGUCAAUCUACACAGAGAAGAUCGUUCUAGACAGGAUGUCAAAAACAAAAACCACACAUGUCAUCUGGUAAAUUUCAAAAUAAAACACUGUGUAUGGACUCCCGAUUGUGUAUCAGUUCGUGUAGAUGAGAAAUCCUUACUAGUUAUGGAUUUAUCGUUCAUAUAGAACAAUAUCGACUAUCCCGGAUCUAUGAGGACCACAACAGGACUUUCAGCUGCUAACUCUGUCUGAAGGUAACAGCACAGUAAAAAGGAACACACUCGUAAACCUGCACAAACCCAAACUGUAAAAUCAUGUUGCUUUUUCACGUAUAUCAGGAGCUUAACAGUCGCAGAUUAAAAUCCAAAUUAGCAGAAAAUUGACCGCAGAAAGAAAAAACAACCUGACUACGUUGUUUUCCGUUUACUGCUUCGCUCCAAACACGCUUCCAGUUGGCGAUGACGGAUCUGACGGAGCCUGGACAUUUUUCCUAUUUCCCUUCUUGCACGUCUACAUCUGUUUUCUAACAUCAAGGUUACCGAAAAGCUUUCCUCCUCGCUUUCACGACUAAAGUUCCUCCCUUCACUCGGGGGACUUCAGUGCCAUCGCCGCACUGAUCACUUGAAACAGAGGAAGGUGAGGAUGAAGACGGACUCUUCAGAUUCCUGGAGGUCAGUUUAUCUUCUCACCCGCCAAACAAGGACCGGCCCUCCAUCCCCUCUUGAAGCACACUGUUCCAGCUGCGUCCCCCUCCAUGCUUGACCCGUCUGCUCCGACGCUAAGCCAGGGUCAGAGUUCACGGCUGCAGCAGCUCUUUUGCUCUCGAAAUGUUCGGCGUUUCUUGAAGUGUAACUUUAGAAACAAUUCAAAGUUCUUUGUCGCAUUAACACACACGGUCCUUUAAUCCCACACCUCAUAUAGCUUUAUGAGCGGUUGGCAUUACCUGGGGAUGGAGUGUAAGCUCAGUGGCUGCAGAGGGAAAUCUGUGUGUGUGUGUGUGUAGAGCUGUAUGCAUGCUGUCAGAAACCCUAUUAAUCCAAGAGUGUAACUCCAGGGACAGGAGGUAAAGCUUUGUAGUACCUGAUGAAACAAAAGAAACCCCUGAACCCCCAAAGUUCAAAUGGUUUGCACUCACUCUGAGCAACUCUCUCCCAAAUGAAAAAAAAAGAAACACAUUAAAAUACGAGAAAACACGACUGCAGCAGAAUCCGAACCAACAAAUUACGACUCGAGCCUUGUUUAGGUGAGCAAAUAUUCAUCCCAUUCAUCCGAGAAGUGUAACUUGUUUGUCGGUCUCAUGCAGCAUUAAGAGGGAACAGUUGGACUACAUGGCUGUUUUAGGAAAAUAUUUGGAUUUGGCUCUUCAAUUUGGAGCCGUCGCCUCCGAUGUGGAGGAGGAGAUUUCCCAACAGUGAUCAUGUUGACACCAGAAUUUAAUUUGGACAAAGUGGGAGCCUCGGUAGAUUGCCCGACGAUGGCGCCAAAAGAUGGAGGGAACAGUUGGUGUAGUAAAUGUCUCUCCAAAUCAGUCCUGGUAAGUUAGAGAGCCAAAUGAAUGGGAGUGCUGUUAAUGUGAUAGUAGAGAUGUCUUUAUUAAAGCAUGAGCAUUAAUGCGCUGCCAUUACAAACCACUACUUACAAGCGUGAGCAGAUUUAGAGGCGUUACCUGAGGUCGAUUGAGUAAAUAUGGCGCUGCAGGAUUUCGCUCAGAGGGUGUCGAGACAGUUAGAAGAGAAGUGAAGUUCUGAAAGAAAGUCCAGUUUACAGAGUUUAGAGGAAACUGUUUAAGGUUUCAAACCUGAAAACCAAACAGUCAUUUUACACAGACCUGUUCUGAGGUAUUUAGAAAAAUUGUUUUCACUGUUUUUAAGGUUGGCGAAUGUUUGUCUUUUUCUGGAUAUUUAUUUAAAUAAUACCUGGAAAAGUGCGCAAGAAAGGACUCUACAGAAGUAUCAAACGCUUAAAAGUGUGGAGGGUACCUCAAAACGAGCUCGACACAGACUCUAAGUGUACAUUUUUUUUUUUUUUUACAUAGGUUAAUACUUUAAUACUUAAUCUUUGACACGGACCUGACUCUGUCAGAAAACUGUAUGUGAGGGCUGAAACAAAAGUCAAAAACACUGCCCUCUGUAGGCAGGGCCAGGUACUGCUUCCUGCCUUUAUAAGGCCACGUGUGGGCAAUCUUGGCAGAAUAACGGGCGCUUAAAACGGAGGUAGACCGGACAAGAGCUAAAAAGCCGGGUCAACAUAAACCAUGGGGGACGCUUGGGGAUCUUGGUGACCCUGUAACCUUUCUGCUGGACAGGUAAACCGCUUUAACAAAGUAAGACAAGUGUCUGUAACAGAAGUGUUUCUUGUCAAACGGACCUGCUGUAGCGUGUUGUAGCGCCAUCGCUAAACUGUCCUCCCUCGGGUCCUGGACUAUGUCACUUUAUCCUCGUUGUAGAAGUCCUGCAAACAUUGUGUUUGCUGGUAGUCUGUUGGCAUCUACAGUAGCACCGAUGCUUUUGACUUUCACCUUGACUGGGCCCCAUUUGUAAUGAUCUGAAGUAUUUAUCUGCAUUAUAUCUGAAUUUAACUGGAACGAUACAAGGGAGCAGGAGCGUCUGUUUGUGGGCGGGGCUUGAGGGGAAAACUGUUUGGGAGGGGUAGAGUUUACAUUCAAGAUUUCUCCUAAAAACUGGAACUAACUCAGAUCCUGACUACACCACCUUUAACUGUAGUUCACUACGACUGCCAAGUAACACCCACUUGUUUGUUGGAGUAAAAUAAGUUAAUUUGACUCAAAGAAUUUUAGUUGUAAUAUCUCGAUUCAAAGUUAUCUAUACUGAGAUACUUAAAGUACAGCUUACUCAUAUGAUAAUUUCACUUUAAUUGACACAAUGAAGUUAUUUUUCUUACUUUUCCUGAGGUCAUCGGGUUCCUAACUUCUUUAAAGUAAACUUAACUAGUUUGAGUUUAGAGUGUACCAAAAUAAAACCACUUCAGGUAAAAGUUUUGCUUGAUUGGAAAGAUGAGUGAUACCUCAAAGCCGUCCAUAUAAUAAAGAUAAAAUACCCGGACCGGACAUGUGUGGUUUACAAUCCGUCAUGUUCGGGUUCGGCUCCUCCGCUGUCAGACUUCACACCAUCCUGCCUGUGAGAAAAAGUCCAUCCCGACUCUGUUCCCCUCGAUAUUUUAAGUUAUGAGGAAAAUUGCAUCCUCAAGGGGCCGCUCAGUUCCAGCCUUAUUCUAUCUGGAUCUUAUCUCACACCACUUGAUUGAUUCGAUAUUGGAUCUGAUAUUGCAUGAAUGAGCUCAAAGAUGUAUAAGAUAUUUUGCGCUUUGAUGAGAGGCUUUAGACUUUUCUGCCAAUAAAACACCUUUGAAUUGAAAAUCAAAUCAGAGAGUGAGGGUGAGAGCGAUGUGCAGAUAUAAUCGUCUCUCUGCUUUUAUUAGCAGAUGGGUUUGCCAUCGGGCCGCACCAUUGGUUUAACCUCCUAAUCAGGUAUCGCCUCGCUCGCCCCGCUGCUGCUGCUGCUUCAAUUAAGGCCGAGAGAGACAGAGAGACAGAGGAAUAAUGAAAGAUGGCGGCGCAGAUGCAGGAAAAUGAAAGUGGCUGACAGAGACAGAUAGAUGGAGAGAUUCUCACGUAUAUGAAAGAGCUAACAGGAGAUAAAGAGCGGCGACGGAGGCCUGGAGGAGGAGAUUAUUGUUUAUAUUUUUCAUUUAGUCCCAGGUCUCAUCAUGUUUUUGUUUAUAUUCAGACUGUUUUCAGACUUCUAAACUAUAUACUUCUAAUAUUUUAUUAAAUCUCCAUCUCUGGGGUGCUGCAGUGAUGUUAUUCGAGCUGAAAUUCUUUCUUUGUUUUGUCAGUUUCACCCAGCAUGCGUCGACGCUCACCUCCCAUGACCCUGUGUCCUCGUUUGGGGACGCUACAUUUAGGUUUACCACAACUUUAUACUUAUUUCUGCGCAACUUGAACCUGUUGUUUCUGUUUCAAAACACUUUAAUGGACAUUUAUGAAUUUAAGGAAAAUAAACUGCAUCAUCUUUAAGUGGAAAAACAACUACAGGUAUGAGAUUUUUCGAAACCCCACGUCUUCAAACGCCACCUCAGCUGAGCUCUACCUGCAGGUUUUGACAUUUGGAGUCCCUACAGAAGCUCAUCAAACAUGAUGGAGACUCUCUGAAGUCCAGAUUCAGGCCUCUGUCAGGACUCGGGUUCCUCCCUGUGCAGGUUUCUAGCCGCCGCAGUGACCCGCCGUGGAAAUCCCCGUGUUCACUCUCUAAUUGCGCCUCUGUAAUGGAUCCGCCUGGGUGAGUUCGGCGCUGGCUGCGCUGUGCUGCAGGCGGAGACUCCAUCUUGGUUUAAUGGGGACUUUGUCAUUCAGGCCUGCAGCUCCCUGAUGCAAACAGCGAGUACUUAACCGGCUUGCUUUGCCUCCCUCCUGUCUUUAUUUUCUUCCUUAUUUUGCAUUCCUCGCUGCUCCCACCUGGAUUAUCCGCCCCUCGUUAUUUCCUUCUGCCUGGUUUCCACCUUCCUCCUCAUGUCUCGUGCAUUUAGAUGGUCUCUCUGUCGGUCUUACAGUCUUCCUCCGAUCUUCCCCCGAAUUAAUUGAACGUUUUCCCAGAAUUCCAUUAACGAGGUUCACUUUUUUUUUUGCUGCUAAACAGCUGACAUCCGAACCCAUCUGAUCCCCGGAGACAAUCUGUCGAUACUUAAGCUGUUGUUCGUCAAUGGAGGACAUGUGUUACACCUCUGGAAGAGAGUGGAAACUGAGGAUAGAUGGAUGAGGAGAAGAAGAAGAAGAAGAAGAAGGUGAGAAUCCAGAUGUGGGUGAAGGAGAAAGACCAGGUCCAUGGAUCCUCCUCAGACUCUUCUUUCAGGUUAGCACAUCUGCGAACGAGGCCCGGUGCGACUCCAAGCUGAAGGUUCGGAUGAACUCGGAGAAAAAGUUGAAGGCGGUGUUGUGGAGGAAGAUUAAGACGUGAGCUCAUACGCAGGUGAAGGUUUUAAAAGGAUUUGUGCAGACGCUGUAUUAGCUGCACACACACAAACAGCCAGGAGCGGCUCUGACUCCUGAGAUCAGGUUUGUUCUGUUUUUACCCUCAAUGUAUACAAAGUCCAUUUAAUCUGCCCAACAACCACCGAUGACAUUUUGAAGUCUGCGCUCAUUUUCCUCCCUGAGAGCUGCACAAACAGCCACAGGCCCCCCCACCCCCAACCGUCAACCUCCCCGCUCCUCGGCUGUUUACUAAGUUUACAUUGAUGCUAUCCCGCUCCGCUCACACCGCUGUAAUAGGACUCAAUACUUCAAGCCUCUGGCCACUCAACCAAUACACCAAAUCACUGAGUGGGAGCAGUGAUAAUAACAGCCGACGGUAAUGUGCAUGCAAGUGUAAAUGUAAGAGAGAGAGAGAGAGAGAGAGAGUUUGUUCGUUUGGGGGGGAAAUCUAUAUUUCUGUUUGGCAGAUUCAGACCAAAAACAAACCUGCUGCAGAAAUGCAUGUUCACCAGGAAGCGCCGGGUCCGACGCUCUCACAUGAUCAUUCUCAAACAUCUGUGGACAGUGUGGAAGUGAAGUUAUACAAGAACAGAUCUGAAGUACAAUCUCUGAGUUUGUGUUCUUCUCUUGAGUAUGAUUUAGAGUUUUGAAGUAUAUAUAUAUAUUUUUAUUUUCAGGCUUUUUGUGCCUUUUCUAGAACAAACAGGACAGUGGAUAGAGAAGGAGAAGAGCAGAAAGGAGCCCAGACUGUUAGCUCGAGGAUAACCAUAGACUUUAUACUCUGUGGACAACUUUGCUCCGCCUUCUGUCAUUAUACGAAUUUGAAGCCGAAUUGCUCUCGGUAUUUCAUCAAUUUUCUCCAAUUAUGCAAUAAAGUAUCAUACAUUUGGCGGAAGAGUCGCUGUGAUGACGCUCGGCUCAAACAGCUGCACAAUCUUCGUACGCCCAUAGGCUGUAUCAGGUGUCAAUCAUCGAAAACAUGAACCCCCUAAUAACUUUUAAAAACGGAGCUGUACAGAAAAAAGAGGACUUGAGCACAAACCAGUCUGACAGUAACUACAUGUCAACAUCACAACCAGGGGGGAGAAACAUUUAUAUUCUGUGUCAUUCAUUUAUAAAGUUUGUCCACAGCUCCAUAGGGAUUGCUGGAGGAGGUGGGAUUUAUGACCUAUACUGCAGCCCGUCACCAGAGGGUGCUGUUCUUGCGGUGGCUUCACCCAGUGAAGAGGUAGACGGCGUCCAUUCUAUAUACAAUCUAUGUAACUCAAGCAUAUAUGGCGGUGCACAUGGACUGUGAAGCAGUUACCGUAUUUCCACCGCAUUUCCAGAGCAGCUCCAAACCGGAAUGGCAGCAAUUUUCACGAUAACAAGUUGUCUUUAGCCACAUAGACUAACCAUAUAAGCAGUAGAUUGUGUCCUUCCAGAGGAGGACAUCUACUUCUAGACUUCUAGAAUCAGCAUCUCCUCAUCCAUGGUGUCAUCGGGGUGAAAUGACGUCUAAAAACCUUUCACUUGUUCAUCCCUACCUGUUUGCAUGGUGUGAAUUUUGUGUUUUAUUUUGAAAAGAAGCCGGAUGUUUUAUUUUGUGUCUGCGCCCGCCUUCCUUUCCAGCACGGGUUAAUCUGUGCUGAAUUUAUCCACCAUGCUCCGGCGUCCAGAAAAAAUAGAACUUGUGAUCAGCUGAGGAGUUCGGCGAUCUGCAGAGGAACAGAAAGAAGACGGUGUAAAUUGACACGUUAACUUGAGUGGUUACGAUCAGCUAUGAUCGGAGGAUACAACCUUUUAGGAGACGAUCAGGAUGAAGGUGGAAAUUACUAGUAAGCUCCAAAACACGAUGCAUUUUAAAUACAACUAACUAAACCAGCGCAUCCGACUAUCCCAACCUCUGACUCGAAGAAAACCAAACAGUUAAAUUCUGCAAUGAAAUAAGAGUUUUUGAACAUGUUUGAAUAAUUUUUUAAAACAGACAUUCAGAUAUGAAAAUGUGUCUGUCUGUCGUUUUAAGGACUCGGUCGUAUCUCACAGGAGUUACAUCUUCACUGACGAUACACUUGAGUGAGUCGGCCUUGUGGUAGCGUGUUUACCCUCACUUUUGGAUGGUUUCAGUUUUAUGGAUCAAGUCCUCGUUAUAAUAGCUGUCAUGAUAGGCUGUGAAAGUGUGAGAUUUUCUUACCUCAUCCAAACGGGUGAUUGACGGCGUGACUCUCCGACCUUAAAAAUCCAUCUGUGAGCUUAACAGUGAUAUAGAGCAGACAAACACACAGACUGAAGUGUUUUUUGUGACCUGCAGGCCUUCCUCCAAUAAAACUCUGAAUAUAAAACUCUCCAAAUGGACAGAUGAGCCGUUCCAGAUCCCAUUCUGACUGACAGUGUCGCCGCCGGCCCUCUUCUCCGUUAGCAGGAAUGCCCUCCGCUUCUGACGGCGUUUGAAAAUCUUCUCCUCAGUCGGGCAGGAAGAUGAAGGCGAAGCCGUCCUGCCCGCAGAGCCUCUCCGCCUCAGGCAUCAUGUCGGAGAAUUUGUUUUGUUUUUUCCACCUCGCUCCUCUUCUCUCUUUUUCUGCGAGUCCUUCGCCGCUUCCCGUCAGCAGAAAUAGAUACGCGCUCAGUGGGGGAUUGGGGGUGCAGAAAAACACCAGAAUAUCAAAACCAUCGGAGAUUAGAGGGGGUUUAUGGUUUGGUAAGCUUCUGAUCUGCUGCUGCCUCUUUCUCCGUGCACGUGAGUUUUCUUGUAAAAUCAAAAGAAGAAGAAAUCUUGAAAGCAGCGAUCAGCGUGAAGGGUGUCAAAAUCUACUCCCCUCUGCACAGGAAGUUACACAAACAGAAAAAAUGACACGACGACAGAGACAGCAGAACACAUCAAAACCACCUGUCAGGUACACGAUCACCAGCUACUCUCUGAUUGGUCAAACCCCCUUGACAACGGUUGUUAAUUCUGCAUAGCAACAGCAGGGACAGCCGGAUCACGCUCAUUAAUGUGCUGACCUCUGCAUGUUGACACCCAGACAGGAUUAAAAUCAAUAAUCAGUAAAUAUUGAUAACCAUUAUGUUGUCGCUGUCCGAUAAAAAAUACAUAUCUCCACUUACAGCGAUCUGGACUUUUUUCAGUACAUGCACGGUCCAUAGGGUUUCCAAAUGACUGAUGAAAAGACAUUUUAUAACAUCAUCUUUAUAACAAAGAUCUCCAUUGGGUGUCGGAAAUGUCGACAAAGCACGUAUCUGAGUUGUCAUGUCGGCAAACAGACUUCACACUGUGACAGACUCAUUACAGUCCAGAGUAACGCUACACAUCGACUGAUGCCGACCUCAAACCAUGACAGUGUUGUUUAUCUGUACGUUAGAUUUACGUUAGAGCUGAAGUUCAUCCCUAGAGGCAAAGCUGCUGUUUUCUCUCUCACACUUGUUGACUAUCGUAUCACUUAGUCGUGUUUCCACUAUCUUUUAAUUUGUUCACUGGUAUUUCAGUGAAAUCAGAACCAGAAUUUUAUUGAAAACCAAUUAACUUAGUAGUAUUAGAACUCAUAGUACAUUUGUAGUUGGUGUUUCAGAAUACCUGCAUCGAUGUGGAAAUGUAGGAUAGUCUGCUAUCAAUAGUUCAUCAACAUAGUGGGAUAUAAACCAGAUACUCGCGAUCGUCAUUGGAGCGCAUUAUUAAAAAAACACGUAUGUCCACUAUCACUCACAACGCAAAGCAUGUAAGUCUGUUUAAGAAUAUCAAACAGGUCACUGAUGAUUUUGUAAAUAUAGAUUUUGAAUUAAGGUCCUAAUUCAAUCUAAUUACAGUGUCUUGAGUUUAUUCUUUGAGGUUGUUUUUUUAAUGUUCCUGUAAAUAUAUAUAUAUAUUGGAGAUACGUGUUUUUUAUUGGACAGUGAUGCUGUGAAGGAGGGAACUGGACGAACAGCUGAUAACCUGCUGAAAACCGAGAAAAACCCUGUGACAGUUCACGAUAUCAUGUCUGAACCCUCAUAACCUUACUUUAUUCUCAUGACACUGAAACUCUAUUCAUGUAAAAUUAUCAUCUGGUAAAGCUACAACUUUAAUUUCAUGUUAUAACUCCACUAAAUAAUAUUUACCUAUAAGCACUUGUCAAAUUGGACGUUAUCGUCAUCCCAGUCUAAUGUGGUGGGAAGGAGAGUGGAUCUGCACCUACAGCUUUGUCAAAAUAUCCUUUAAACUCCCUAACCGGGACAGAACUGAGAAUAGAAGAACCAUUUAAAGAAGGAAACAAGAGAAAACCAGAGAAACAUCCCAAAGUGGGUAAGAACAGAAGGAUGAUCGGAUAUAUCAUGUAGACAUGACUGCAGCCAGAAAUAAGGUUUUUGGAUCACGCCGUCAAAUUUGCUAAAGUAGGAAUAAAAAAAACCAAAUUCGGUGAAAAGUUCGGACGACUUUUUCAUGAAUUUCCGGUCACGUCAAAAGUGACCUUCGCCUCAUUUUUGUUUGAGGGUUUGUCAGCUGCAAAGAGAGCUGAACACAGACGGACAGGUCGGCAGAAACCGUAUCCACGCGGUCAAACGUCGCCAUCACUGAAAACUUAAACGAGACUCAAACACACCGCGCUUCAUCUUCCAGAAGGUCUCGUUUCUGAGGGUCCGAACUCUCUGGGAUGGUCCUGGUGCCAUCAGAAACACGGAGCAUCUGUUGAAAUCACCUGGCCGACCUUCCACCUCUUGGCAUUCUUCUCCUCGCCCGGCCGUUCACACACUAUUAGAGCGUUUACGCCGCGGGUAGAGAGCGAGCGGCUGAACUCAUUUCACGGGUUAAUUAGAACAAAAGGAUCAGCCUUUCGCCGCGCGAGAGGCUUUCGAUUAUUGAAAGGUUGUGGCUCGCUCUCCUCCCCGCGGGCCUCCGGUGAGAGGACAGAGUAUACCGGGCUCCAUCACGCCUAAAUGCCACCUAUCAAUCACCUGAUCGCGCCUGGCCGCCAUCAUUAGCGUCCCGUGAUUGAGAGGUAAGCUUCGUAAUCAUCCUCAGGCAAAUGCAGAGUGAGGUUAUUAAUACGCUGCCUGUCUGCGGGAAGCGAAAUGACAAGUUGGGUCAACUUUAUGAAGUGAGAGAGAGCGGGUGGAGCGGAGGAGCCGAGCGCUGAUCGACAAACAACGUGACAGAGAUCAGACCCUGAUGAGGUCUCUAACAUAAAGACGAGGAGAAGGAGUGAAGAGUGUACAGUCUGCUGUCCUCCAGAAACGGGAACAUAAUGACUCAAGGUUCCCCGUCUUAUGUUCAGCAGCUCUUAUCUCAAACACUUCUGGAGUUUGGAGGCUACACAUCUCAACAAACCAACACCAAGAGUGCUGCAAGAAGGUGAUAAAAGAUUGUGUUUCAUACCUGGGGUUGACCUUAAGCGGCGCGGUAAUGAAUAUCUUGUAUCAACAGCGUGAACCGGCUCAGAGUGAGGCAGGAAAGAAGCCGGAGGCACGACUCACGACAGACGGCGAAAAUCAAAGUUCAGCUGAGAAAGAGGCGAGGGUCAAAUCCGGGAAAUCAGGCAGAACAGGAAAACAUCUGACAAGAGGCGGGCGGCAAAUCCAAGGUCUAAAGAUCAGCUGAGGUCUGUUCAGGCCACUGAAGUACCAGAUAUCAGACUGUCCGCUGCAGCGUGCACGGAAAGGUUCAGUACACGCAGCGAAAAAAGGAAACGGGAAAUAGAGACGCCAGCAGCGUGUUGUUUUCUUACAUGAGAACCGACCAGGUACUCUGAACAAGAGCCAAACUUUAAUGAGAGUCUGAUGUUCAGACGUCUGGACUGGAUUUAGCUUCAUGGUUACAGAUGAAACCAGGAGAAAUUGUUUUUAUUUGAUAAGACCGAGAGGAUAUUUACAUCUACUGUGAUGUUAUAUGGAAGAGCUAAAACCUGCAGUUCAUCAAGUGUCCACUAGAGGGUGGAUCCAAACAUGUUGUACAAACAAGAGUGAUUCCUUUGACUCCGUAUAUUUUGCACUCUUAUUUAGAGUGACCAUCCGUCGUCUUUUACUCAGACAUGUCCUCUUUUUUGGGGGCUGUCCGGAUUUGUCUCGGGGAGUUUAUAAAAUCCUUCAGAUGUCUUCAGUUUUGAGUUUGUGUCGCGUGGACUUACUGAGUUAGAAGCGCCUAAAAAACACUCGAUCCGACUGCAAAACUCUCAAAAUUUACGACUCUGUGACUCCGCCCCUUUUUGGGAAUUCAGUAUAUAGUCACCCUACUCUGACCGAGCAUGAAGUGAGUGAGUUGUGUUUUUAAUUCGUUAAUCUGAAUAAUUUUAGCACCUGCCGUGAGCCUGCUUAUUUAUUUACUUAUUUAUCCCCUUGCAUUAAUGUAUUUCUGCUCACUUUAUCUUGCUCUUUGUGUUAUUUGUUUUAUGUAUCAUUGUACAGCACUUUGACUACCCUUGUGGUUAUUUUAAAAUGUGCUAUAGAAAUAAAGUUGAUUGAUUGAUUGAUUGAAUUUGCAUGUACAAAUUCUAACGUUGCCUCAUAAGGACUCGUGUCCAGCUGCGUCUUCACGUUGACUUUACUUGCAGUCGUGUAAAUAUCCCCUCCCUGUGUGAACACAGAAGCCUUCUCCGACUGAAAACUCACACUGAGUAUCCCAACCCUCGGCACGGCUCACGGCAGAGUCUGAAAAUAGAGAUCAGCGUGUUGACGACCUUCGUGGCCUCUUGUCCAUUACUGAAACUUUGGAAAUUUAGAAGUUUUAUAUUCCGGCCUGCUAACAGCCCCGGACUAAACACCUGAGUCUGCUCAGUGUGGAGACCAUCAGCCUGCACAGCUCUGAUCCGCACAAUACGACCAUUAGACUUUCUCAGCAUCUAUUCAUUGAUCGGCUGCAGCCGAGAUAAAGGUCGGCGGUUCACGGAGCUCCGGCCAUUUCAGCACCUCGUCCUCCUCUUCUCGCUCUCCUCAGAAAAAACCAGAAGGUCUCCUGUCAGCACAACAGACUCUUUUCAAAAGCGAGUGGGAAGAGAAGUGAGAAUGUGACCCUGAUUCACACCUCCAGACUCCACACAAUCUGCACCUCCUCUGAAACUCAACAAUACCGAGAAACAUCUGCUCACUCUCCACACUUAUAAAAACACUCUCUUUAUAUUCACAGGCCUUUCAUUAGCUUUUUGUGUCUUUUUUUGUGUGUGUUUGUGUGUGUUCUCGGGCUCUCUGCAGCUCUGAAAUGACAAGACUCAAGGAAAACAUUCAGAAGUCAAAGGCAGAUAAGUGAUUCAGGUCUGUGUCUCAGUUGGCCUUUGGAGAGGAGCGAGGAUGAUUAAAUUCAGCAGAGGAGAUAAAUCCUCAUAUCCAGCACAUUAACUCCCACAGAAGUACACAAACUUCAUACAGAGAAACACAUUAUGGGGGCUGCAGAGUGUCAGCUUUAAUAAAAAGAAAUGAAUAGCGGGUCAGCGCGUCUUCAGCCUGUAACUGGAAUAUUCUGUUUUAAUAGAAAUACGAGUCCUGACCCUCCUGAAGAAGAGAGCGCUGAUGGUCUGCAGCUGUUCUCGCUGUCAUGGAGCGGACCAACACUGUUAAUAAGUGUUCUUAUACAAGGACCGCGUUUAUGUUCGCACAAACAAAGAUUAUGUCUCGCUGUGAAUUAAAACUGACCCUCCUGCUGUUGUGAGUGUGAUCGUACGGUCUUUGUGGAUCUUUAUUAUGUGUUGGAGGUUGUUGGAGUUUCAUAUCACUGGUUAUUUUUUUAGACACGAUAACAGAGAGACGUCAGCUCAGCCGAUUAAUGAGAAACUGCAGGGAGGACCGGGACGCGACUCUGCCGCCAUCAUUUUUUAGGUUUUCUAGUUUCAUGCAGAAAAUUUUCAGCAUAUUUAAAAACUGGACUUAGCGAUGGUAACAUCCCCCUUUUGCCGCAAACUCAACUUUAGAUCAACCUACCAGAGGCGGGACUUUAGCCUCCUCACAAACAGCUGCUGUGUGACCCCGUGACUCAGAUUCGCCGAUCUUGUAACCUUACUAACUUCCAAUGGGAUUCCUGCGCGAUUCAGACAUAUGCUGCGUUCCAGUUACCUCAGAAGUCGGACGUUGGAGCUGGGAAUGACGUUACAUCCCGAGUUUACGACGUUCGAGUAAACAAGUCGGAAAAAACAAGAUUGACGCCUUAUGUUAGCUGUUGUUAACAAGUGUUAGCUGUUGUUAGCUGUACCAGUUUUAAACAAAGUAUAACCCAGUAUUUGACUCUUACAAACACCAUCGCACCGUGUUCACAGUUAGACGUUGGGCAGAACAACAUAAACCACUUUUACUAAAACAAAACAGAAGUGCUAAUAAUUAACACAUUACAUUCACUGUUACUCUUUAUUGUUGAUGCUCUGCGCUGCCAUCUUGAAUUAUGACGUUGUCGUCAAGUCGAGGUUGGUGAGGAUUGUCCGACUUUCCGAGUCUGAAAUCCGACUUCAGGGCGGCGCUCCAGAUGAAUUUUUGACUCAGAACUCGGAAAUCCUGACCUCCAACUUCAACUGGAACGCAGUGUUUGGCUCGGUGUGUAUGUGGUUUCUGGUGCUUCUGUAGACAGCCCCAUGUGGACACUUGAGGAACUGCGGGUUUCAGCACUUCAGCAUCGGCUUUAUUUCUCGUGAAUGGAGGACGCUGCUGCUCUCAAAAACAGAGGUUUAAAACUGGCCUCGAAAAUGUUUAAUUCCUUUUCCAUAUCUGAUAUUUAGGACUGACAUUAACUUUACAAACGAGUCCAAAUAGAGCAGGUAAAUAUUCUUUUUAAUUGCACUUUGAGUAACUGUCUAAGAGGGUUCAUCUCUAAUAUCUUAAAGGGAUUUUGUGGUUUUAUUCAGCAGAUAUUUCACUCUGUUAGAAGGAAAUAUUGCAGACUGAUAUCUCUUGAAUACCGGUCCUUAUUGAAAUAGGACAGCGGUCAUCAGACAUGUUUGUAUCAGCUCAGUAACUUUUACUCAAUUCAGCAUCAACAUCCAGGUGUGUCGCAGUGAAGAAGUGAACAUGUGCAGCCCAGAUGUUCGUUGUUAAAGCAGAGAAAGUGCACCAAAAAAAGCCCCAAAGACCGGCUGUUUGGGGAGAGGAGGCCUGCCAGCGGACUGGCUGCAGCUCUGGCUCAUCUACACGGGUCCACACCAGGUCCAGGUGUGUCCCAUGUUGCUGAUUAACCUCCAGCAAGUCUGCAGCUCCAGAGACAGAAAGCAGAGUCAGCCGAGCAGGAGGGAACCUGCACAAAGUUAAGAGAGAAAACAGGAGAGGAAUCACAGAGGGCCACACGGGGUCAAUUGGUGUUGGCUCCUGAAACGGGUACAAAUCACACCGGAGCGUCAGAGCUGGAAGGACAUAAUAUAACGACAUGGUCGGACUCCAAGAAAGAACUAACGCAGAGGGCCUACGCUCACCUCAGAUCACACCUCCCCAUAAAAAAACACACCUCAUGUUAAAACUAGAAACACUACACAAUAUUUCUAUAAUAUAUUUCACUCUUUUCUGUUCUGACUGCUCUAUUUCUAUAUUUUAAUUGUCCCUUUUCCCUUCUUUCUCUUUGAACUGAUGUUUUUUGGAAAGCUCCUUCUGCUCCUGUACGUGAAAAUGCUCUUCGAGUAAAAUGAUUUUGAAGCUUCAGACCGGUGACAGAUCUUCUGUUUGUGCUGAAUUAGCACGAGUUAGAGGGCAAACUAAAAUCACUUCACCUCAAAUGGCUCCUAAUGUGUUUGUCUUCCUGAAAAGGUUGUUAAUUUGUGAGUCUCUCGGCUGUCACUGUGUUGGUUUCCUCCAGAUGUCUCUGCUCGGUUUCUCUCUGUCACGUCCUGCAGGUUGUCAUCGAUUUACCGGAAAAUAAGGGGAAGGAUUUCUACCCAAACAGAAUUCCCUUUGCUUCGGAUCAGUGCGACAUGUUCUGCUUGACCAGUGAAAUGUUUUCUCCGAGAUAUUACACACCCUCUGAACUUCCCAUCAGUCACAGCAGGAUGAAGUUUUCAGGCCUCAGAGACGACGGUGUGAGGCGGAGAGUGACGGUGAGUCCUGGGCCGUCACGGACAUCGAGCAGGGCUGCAGUCGCUGCUCCAGCACCUGAGGUGUGACGUCCUGGGAGUCCUGCAGCCUCGAAACACGCCAAACUGUCCGCAAACAGGCGGGAUAAAAAUAGGCUCUUUGUUUGCCAGGCUGAGCCGCACCAAAGUCUCACCGCCACAGCUGUGUGUGACUGAAGCUUUCAGCGCAGAGGCUGGGAGAACAAUUAGCAGAGAUGGUGGUGUGAUGUGGGAACAGAUGUGACUGUGAUGAUGCAAGAACGGCAAACAUUAAUAACACGCCUGAGUCUAUACUUUUCUGAGAAGUCGUCAGAUUUAAGAGUCUUCAAACCAGAACUUUUUAAGGGACUUUUUUACCGUUUAAGGUUUCAUUCUUUGUUCAUGUCACUUUGCUCACAGAUACACAAAUAAGUGCAAAUUCUUAGUCACAGUUUUACUCCUUUUUCAUUAAAGUUCUCAUGUUUAAAGAAGUCCUGCAGAGAACUUAAAAGUUUGUGUAUAUUAUCCAAAACACGUUAGAUUGCACACACUCACAGGGUUGACUUCAGUAAUGUUGGGUACAAUUUAGGGUUGCAUCUGACAAGUAAUUAUAAGGAAAUUUAACAGAUAUAUCGUCAAACUACACAAACGAUAAACCAGCGUAACAGGUAACAAGCAGACACUUAAAUGCCUAAAAACCCUGCACACCAAACCAGGUGGUAAAAACAGAAAAGAAACACACAAUCUACAAUAUUUACUCUGUACUUAAAGUACCGUCGGCACACCUAAAACUUUCUUUCUUCCACAGAGGCAUGGAUGGCCGGUCUGCCUUUUCUGAGUGUGUCUGAAAAGCCAAAAGAAAAGGAGUGAGAGCGAACAACCACCUGGUUUAAAAGUGAGUGAUUUCAUAAAUAUGGAAACUUGGAGAAACUAAAUGAUUCGGUGAUUUAAACAAUCACAAGGAGGUUGUGAUCGGCUUAUUAGUCGUCUAUAAGUGGUGAAAAAACACAGUUUGUGUGCUCCAGAUUAUCGGCGAAAUACUACAUUUCAUUUUGUCCACAGGGGGCGCCAAAGAAAACACAAAUGACAGCCAAACUACACGGAGAUUGAUUCAUUUGCAGGGUUGUCGUGAACUUUGAAUUCUACGGAGCUCGAGAGGUGACAUGAACUUUUUUUUUUUGUAUAUCUCAGGUGCGAUUUAACUGUUCCUAAAUAGACAAAAUCACUUCCUACAAGUCUGAAUAUCGCCGACGGCAAAGUCGCUGUGCUUCAGGGAUCCUGAUGAGGUUUCUCCUACUCAAAACAAAACCAACUGUGUUGAAAUUAUUAAGUAUCUCUUUGUGAGUCAAACAUGAAUGAAAGAAAAUGUUGAUAAUAUGAUAAGAGGCGUGCAGAGGAUUAUUUACAAAAUGCAUUCGUAUUUGCAAAAUACAAAUAAAACACACGUACGAGAUAUUAAAUCGCACGUGGAAUGAAGUUCAUGUCACCUCACGGGCUCUGAAGAAUUCGCCAAAGUGAAGAAGGAAACUUUUUUCCUUUCUGUUCGGUUAAAAUGUUAACGUGGUGGUCGAUGAGGAUUGGAGACAGCCUCUAGUGGACACUCAGAGAACUGCAGGUUUUUGACACUUUAAUGUUCAGAGUCAACUUUAUUUUUAAAUAUGCUCUACAUGUUAAACAUACAGCAAGGAUGAAAUUUCAGUCCUCUUAGGCCCACGGAGCAAAAGAAUAAACUAUAAGAAUAAAACUAUAAAAGAAUAAAUAUAAUAAUAAAAAACUAAUCUAAACAAAAGACGAAAAUACUCUUAAUUUACAAAAUAAAGAUAACAAUAUAAAUAGCAUAACAGUAAAAAUAGCACAACAGUAUAAAUAAAGAAGGUGAAUGUAAACAGUAUGGCAGUCCUAAAGUGGACGUAAUAAUGCAGAUAAAUGUCAGACAGUUGUAAUUAUGGUGCAAUGAUGAGCGAUAAAGUGAAAGUGUGCGGUCCUGAGGUUGGUGUGUUUGUGAGGGUCUGAGGAGGGCGAGUGCUGGAGCUCCGGAUGUUUCUACCUGUUAAGUAGAAACACUGAAAAAAAAAAAGAGUCACAGUGUUAAAAGACAAACCUAAAACCUCUAAAGAGCCUGUACAUGAGUUUCAACUUAUCCACUGUCACUUUCAUUAUUCUCUUUUUGCAAAUAAAGGUUAAGAGUUUUGUAUUUUUUAAUAGAAAAACCAUCAAAGCUCGGAGGAAUUCACAAGUACAGCCGGACUUUUCAUGAAACGAUUACUUCUAAGACUGGAUUAUCCUGUAAAUAUCUGAAGUGUCCUCUUUGUUUCUGUGACAUUUUGCUGCAGCGAGCGUCUCUGAGUGUUUGAGGCGGCUCUGAUUUAAAUGCUGGUAUUUGUUUUUCUUUAAAGCAGCAGCAGCAGCAGAGUUACAGGGCAGUGAACUAGAAAAUGACAUUUUAAAGUCAUCUGUAGCUUCUGCAGAGUGUUGUGCCCUUUCCUCAGCGGGGUAAAUAUUAACACAGCCGACGCCUCCUCCUUCUUCUUCUUCUCCUUCUUCUUCUUCUUCGUCGUCUUUAAGAAGACGAGGCGUCAAGAGAACUGAAGGAAAAUGGAGAGAGAGAGCUUAUAUCUGUUCAACUCCUUCAACCGUAACAUUUUACAUGCAGGAUUUAGCAUCAGUCAGUGUUUAUCUUGGCAGUGAUCGCAGAUAAAAAUGUUUUUAGUUUGAGUUUUUUUUCUCUUUUAUGUCCAAGAAAAAUCAAAACAUUUGAGUCAUCACUUUCACUCGUCACCAGCGUGUAGGAUGGAGGUUCGCACUCUUUGUACUUCAACUUAUGUGGUAUUUAGAUUUUUCAGUUUUAACUGGAUGAUUAAGUGUACGCUCUCCCACAAUGCAAUGCUGCCUCUGCUGAUCGACUCAGAUAAUAUAGAAGAUUGAUCCGUCUCUGAGCCAAGAAUCAAAACAGUCUUUCUGUGGUUGAUAAAGACGUGUUUGUUUUCCUUUGAUUUCUUUUCUCUGUGGGGUGGGGGACAGAUGGUCUGGGCUCAGCCCCCUCUGUCCUAAAUCUAAGAAUCACCCCUGGACAGGUGCUGAGACACUUUACACCGCACCCGGCUCUAUCGACAUUUUGCAGGAUAAAUAAUGAUGACUGGUUGUUUCUUAAUCAUUGGCAUCCAUGAUGAAAAGUAUAAAUAGAAGAAAAUAUAGAUAUUAAACAUGCAGUCAUCCUCAUGAUUCCUACCGUACAGCAGAAGACUUAGUAAAACUGUUUAAAGAAGUUUUAAAAGACUGACAGACAUCCGUUUAUUAAACACAGAGAGGUUUUUUUGGGACUGUAGGAUUAAAAAGUGGUGUUGUAGAUGUCUGUGGGUGUGACCUGUCCUCCUGUUUGUACCAUGAAAGGGUUAAAAGUCCACAGAAAUCGUGGCAGCUCUGUGAAUAUGCUUUCACUUCUUAACCACUGCGUAUGGUGACCAUACGUCCUCUUUUACCUGGACAUGUCCUCUUUUUUGGGGGCUGUCCGGCCUUGUCCGGGGACUUUAACAGGGCCCGACCGAUUUAUCAGCGAGACAAUUAAAUCGGCCAAUUUUAGCCAGUUUGAGACUAAUCAGUAAUCGGCCAAAACUCGCAGAUUUUCGCCAAUAUUUUCGGAAAUAAAAUGUGGAGAAGAUUCGGGGUUGAAAAUGUUUUUCUGAUCCGAUCAGUCGGUCUUCCUGUCGGUGUGAAGAGCAUAAUAUCUAUACUUUAGAUAUCUACACAGUACAUAUAUAUCUAUAUAUAUAUAUAUACUAUAUAUAUCAUAACUAUAUUAUUAUAUGUAAAAAUCACUGGACCCGACCCGAAAAACUCUCAAAAUGCACUACGUUCGACUCUCUGACUCCGCCCCGCAUAGUCGUGUCCUCUUUUUCGGGAUUCAGAAUAUGGUCACCCUACCGCUGCAUUGAAUAGAGUAUUUGUCGUGUUCGUUAGGUGACUGGCGAGAGUGCCCCUAGUGGUUGUUUUCAAUAUUGCAAGAAAGACUGAAGAUCUACGAAAACUUGAAACAAGGUUAAGUUUUUCGUAGACGCAAAGACAUGAAGAAAAAAAAACUUUAAAUCAAUCCUGAUGUUUGUUCCUACUAUGGAAAUUUGUAACUAAAAAUCGCAUGAAAAGUCUUGUGAGUUUUUAUCCCAGAGUUAAAAUAAGAUUUACUAUUUAUCAUGACUUGAAAUUAGACUUGACAUGAAUUAAAACCUAUGAACUGCAUUUUUAAUCCCCAUAAAAUCUCUGCUCUUCGUUGGUUUUGUCGGAGAGUCUCUUUCACGGCUGUUCAUUUCGUUUAUUGAAAAUCUUUAAAGUAGAAUACACUUCCGUGUUUUUCUUUCGCUCCCCUCUUAUUUCUUCCUCUCCGUCACCAUCUGUGUGUGUUUUUUCGUUCUUUGGAGCGUAAUCGCGCUGCCAUUUUACCGAGGACUCUCCCGGAGCCUCUGAUCCCCGGAGACCGUCCUGCUGAAAUAAAAGGUCAAAUAAAGCGUAAAGUAAACGAUAGCGGACAGGUGUUGCUGUUGUUGCGCCUCCUGCACGUGCAGCAUGUGAAGAGUCUAAUCUGAUCAGUCUGGUGUACGUUCACGUCCCGCCGAGACAAACAGGACCUGACUCCACCCGGCUGUCUCUGUCUGCUCACGCCGGAGGUCAAAACAGACAAUUUCACACAUUUAAAAAACAGGCUUUCUCAUUUCCAGCUUAAAAACACAAUUUAGCAUGGUGCUCAGGGACAACGGCUCGCCUUAUGAUCGCCACCUUCCUUCUGUCUGUCACAUGUGGUUGUUUUUGCCGCCGCUCUGCCUCCUCGCUCGGCGCUGAUUUGCCCCAUUAGUCGAGCAUAUGUGUGGAUUGUGCUGUCGAACCCAAUCAGCUGAUUUGAAGCCAGGGUCGUGUCUCUGUAGGGAGCCUUGUCCUCCUCCUCCUCCUCCUCCUGAGCCCAAAAAGAGGUGAGGAGUGACUGAGUGCAUUUUCAAUUUCAGCUCCGAUUUGGUGAACAUGAGUGACGCCAUUUUGAAGACCUUCCCGUUUAUUCUCGCACGUUUAUCCUCCUCUCCUUUGUCUCCUUAUUUGCUCCUCGUUUCGUGCUUUCCUUGAAGUCCCCUCCAGCACACACUCAUAUUUUCUUUCCACAACUUGUCUGAAAAAACACCGAACACAGGGAAGUGGACCCAAAGCAGAUGGCGAUGGCAAAACCAGAACAGUUCAAAUGAAUUUCUUGGAGGAGAGAGAAAAAAAAACAGCAAAACCCCGAGGUUUUCAGAACGGUGAAGCUGGCAACGAGUGAACCAGAGACCGUCCAACACAGACGCACAAAUCUGGGGUGUGUUCAGGCAAUCAGGAGUGAGAAAGGAAACAAGAAACGGAGACUGAAAUAUGAAACUCGAUUCUAUCAGUAAAUCAGAGGCUCGACUCUUUUGUCUCUUUCUGUUCUUUAUUUUCGUCUGAUAUUCAUCCUGAUUAAACAUUUCUCUGUUUUCACUUUAUUUCACCCACUUUUAUUUCUUACCCCGAAUUUCCACUGGAUCUGAAACGGCUCCGAUCCGGAACGGCAGCGAUUUUCAUGUCAAUUUCUACCAGAUCCAUUUCGUGGUGGAUUAUGGACAGCAGGAAUUGUGAGAACUCACAAGAACCCACGGAUUCAUGUGCAAUCGCGCGAUAAUGAGUUGUCUUUACCCACAGAAGCUAACCAUAUAAGCAGUAGAUAGUUUCCUUCCAGAGGAGGAAAUCUACUUCUAGACUUCUAGAAUCAGCAUCUCCUCAUCCACGGUGUCAUCGGGGUGAAAUGACGUCUAAAAACCUUUCACUUGUUCGUCUCCGCCCGUUUGCAUGGUGUGAAAUACGAUCCUCCUGAAACACACAGUGGAUAUUUUAUUUUGUGUCUGUGCCUGACUUCCUUUCCAGUCGAUCUGUUCUGAAUUUAUCCAAAUAGAACUCUUGCAAUCAGCUGUGGAGUCCGGCGAUCCGCAGCGGAACAGAAAGAAGACGGUGGAAAUCAACAUAUCCACCAAUCAGCUGCGAUCGGCAGAUACGUCCUUUUCGUAGCCAUGCCGGAUGCGGUGGAAAUUGCCAGUUACUACUAUUGACAUGAAGCUCCAGGGAUGUGAACAGUUUACAGACCCACCACUUGAACAGCUGACGUCAGAAUUAUGAACUGGAGUCGGGUCACGGGGUCAGCAGCCAGACCCCCUCUCCUCGGUCACUUUGUACAUCUCUUCCCAGGGACCCCACGGCCCUGUUUAUGUGGUCUACUGGUGGGAUUUCGACCACUCGCAAUGUUACUUGGCCUUGAGGUCACUACCCAAAGCUCGUGACCACAGAUGAGCGUAGGAACGUAGAUCGACCGUUACAUCGAGACCUUUGUCUUUCGGCUCACAGCGUCCAAAUCACUGCAGACGAGUUUCUGUAAAUCGUCUUUUUACUCGUUCUCUGCUACAGUCUGAUUUCUUCCUUUUCUCCGUACUUUAAUAACUGCUUCUCCCUUUUUAUUUUAGAUGCCUUAUUUAUUUAGUUUGAUUGAUUGAUUGAUUGAUUGAUUGAUGGAUUUUACCUGGUGAGAGACCCAAGUGGAGGUGCUGCGUUUCACUGCUUCAACUUGUUAACUUUCCCCGGAGUGAAAGUGUGGGAAUGCAGGAGUCCAACUUGCACAUUUCAGCACCGUGCCGCUGUGAUCAUUUUACCUCCUCCGUCUCUUCUCUCUGAGCUGACUGACGCCUCGCUGCUCGACACAGCAAUGAUUUUUUCAAAAGGUGGCCAGUUUCUGCUACAGCUUACUGUGUGGAUGUCUGCGCGCUGGUGUGUGUGUGUGUGUGUGUGCAAUUAGAGAGUGAGAGUGAGUAGAGCAUGUCAGUAGACUCUUGACAAAGUUGCCGUUGGCAGCGCAGCUCCUCAUCAUCUCCACAUCGGGAUAAAAUGAACCCAGGAGACCGGUGCCCCCGAGUUCCUCAGUAGACUUAAUUUAACAGAGUUAAAAUCAAUUUCUCUGCGCUCUCCUGGGUCAAAUUAACUAUCUCCUCGUAUGAAGAAACACCAACUACUUGACAGCUCGUCCAGAUCCUGACUGUGUCCGUCUGUCGGUCGACUGGCAAAGCGCUUUUCAUUUCUUCGCCAAUCUCCCGUUCUCACUUGGAGCGUGGGCCGUCCGCAUGGCGAGCUUCGAUCUGCCAAGAAAGUGACUGGAUGGUGACGGCGCCCAGGCUGGUCUCCAUAUCCCAGUAUGUUUCGGUUCACAGUAAUUGCUCUUAUUUGUCGAGACACGCAGCGGAAGAUGACACGGGCUGAAAUGCAACUCUGAUGUAAGAUGAGUGUUGAUUAGGAGCGGAGUUUAACAGCGAGGUCGCAGCUUUCGCUGUCGCUCCGGAGCUUUCUGCGGAGCAGUUAAGGUGUCGGUUUAUCCCACAACAGUUUGAAAGGUUUGGAAAACAAGAAUAUCGACUAAUCUGAGAGAUGAGCGGCAUCACGACGGCGUUCACUUGGCUGACGACCAAACGAAGUUCUUAACUGUUCAGCGACCUGUUUUAUCUGUUAGCUCAGAAUAGACAGAAACAAAACAAACAAAAUCUCACUGCUUUUCUGUUAAUAUUUUUCGCCCCACUUUGAACUCAAACGGCUCAAAGAUCAGAGUCGCUUUAUUCUCAAACUUAGUCUUUAUAUUUUUUUCUUGACUUGCUGAUUUAUAUCAAAGCGUCUAUCAUCACACCAUCAUUCCUGUUUCCAGAUCAGCUCCCACUGUUUGUUUUAGUUUAGUUGUUAGUGUUUCCUGUUUUAUUUUGAAGUAGUCAGUCCGUGUUUGUCAAGUCUGGUUUUCCCUCCUUCGUUAAUUUCUCACGAGUCUCACCUGGUGCUCGUUUCCCAGUGUGUGUAUACAGCUCCUGUUUCCCCCUCUGUCUUUGGUGGGUUAUUGUCGGUCCAUGUAUUAUCUGUCCAUUCAAUUAUUCCAUUCAAUCUAGUAACUGAAAAAUGAAUAAAUGAGUCACUAUUUUAUUUGUUUUUCUAUAUAACCUAAAAAUAAAAAAAUGUGUUUGUUUUUGUGUUUUCAGCUCAAAACAGCAUAAAUAAAAAAGAAGGAAACAAAAACAAAACAAUAAAUCUUAUUAACGAUUAUUGAUUUUCAGUGGGCCUGUUUUGAGCGUACAUGCAUGGAUCCUCGGUGACAGUUACCAUGGCGAAAGAUGCGACAGAGCGGUUUGAGCCCAGAAAUGUUACGUUGUAACAGAGCUGUGGUUGUCAUUGUUUCCACAGUCAUAUCUUCCUCCUUCAGCGUGACCCUCCUGGCGGCUUUGAAUCAUACGUAGGGUGCGUCCGUCUCCAUAUCGAUCCAGAAAAGUCACUAAGAAGUUAGAGUUAUCUGGACUGAUUGGAGAGCUGUGUAGCUUUUGUCUGUCCUGGGUAGCUAUGGCUCCACCUGUUGGCCAGCAAAACUCUAACACAGGAAGUACAAUCAUUGAAGGAAAACCAGGAAGUCUAUAAAAGGACCAGGAAGUUGGCGGUUCUUCCCUUUGUCUCCAGCAGACCACACAUGAGCCGACUCCUGAAGAAGACUGCAAACUGAAAACAUCAGCUGUGAGUUUUGUUCUGUGUGGCUGCUCCUUGGUUUUUUAGCAGAAAAUGGUGUUAAAACAUGUAUUUUUUUUUUACUUGCUUGUUUAAGUAUUUAGUUUAGUUUAUCCUGGUGCUUAGCCUAGCAUGUAGCCCACAGCUUAGCUGAUUUGCUUAUUGCAAAAUCAGCUAAGCUCUGGGCCACAUGUCUGGUUUAGUCAGUACCUUAGCUUAGCUUUUAGCAUUAGCAUGUGAUGUAGCAUGUAGCUAAGGCUCACACAGCUCAAUUCAUCAUGUAGCUUAGCGCUUAGCAUUAGCAAAUAGCAUUUAGCUUAGCACCAAUGUUUCAUUUGUAUUAUGAGUAAAUGUAUUAUUUUCUAUGAGAAGUUGUUUACAGCAUUUUGUUGAUCAGUGCGUUAUUAUUUCUCUUUGUUGUAGUUUUUACUCUGAAUUUAACCAGUGAUGAAUAAACAAGAUCAACUGAGACCUGACUCAAUCAUUUAAUUUUAAAUUUUUAAAAGUUUUUAGAGAUUAACUGUCAAACUGCAUAAUCACACAUGUAGGGAGGACAGUUUAACACCAAAGAUGUUUCAUUGGUUUGAAGUCUGAUUAGGAGCAGGUGGGCCGCAGGUAUAUUUGAGUUUAUAACAUGCAUUUUCGAAUUGGCCUAAUUUAUUCUGCUGUUGACCGCAGUAUUCAGUGGAUACUGUAUACUGAGUACUGUGUUCAAUAGUAGUAUGUAGUAUGACUGCAAGUCGGCUGUUAUUAUGUAGCAUGGUUGGCCCGGUUUAGCUGGUUUCCUGUAUGGAAAAGUCCAUGGUACUCUGGUAAACUGCACUGACACUACAGUCGCCCAUUCAUUUACGCACUGAAAAAAAUCUUUAAUGUGUUUUAAUUUGAUUUUUUUUAGCCCAAUACCAUCAAAACAUGUUCUGUCCAUGCAAUGACACAUCGAUCUGGUGGCGUACGGCAAAGUUAUGUUGUCAGUUACGUUGUCCUCAUUUCCUGCUUAAAUGAAAGAAGUUGCAACCCUUCAGUGUUGUUUUUGGCAGGCAUUUUAGAUUUAGUUUUAGUCUUAGUCAUUUUGACGAAAUGCUUCUUCGUUUUAGUCCCAUUUUAGUCAUUUCUAUCCUUGAUAGUUUUCGUCUAGUUUUAGUCCGACGAAAACUCAAAAGGUUUUCGUCUAGUUUUAGUCGACGUAAAGGUGCCUUUUGAGGUUCGUGGUGUUCAUUCCCGACAGUUUGAAGCAUGAGGAAGCUGUGGCUCCACAACUGUCGUCUGUCUCGUCUCCCCGUCCCGUGUUUUAUUGUCACUUUUAUUUUAUUGUCACUUGAACUGUAUCUGAAGUAGGACCAUAAAGCAUCCCUCUUUUUUCGGCCACCGCUGCUGUGCCUGCCGCUACGGUGUGUGUGUGUGUGCGCGCCUCGUCCACCUGCCGCUCUGUGUAUGUGAAUGAGUGUGUGCGCGCAGCUGUGCGCGAGCGAGGCUUUUGGUGCGUGUGUGAUUGGGGGCGUGACUGUUAGGACAAAAAAAAGCAUGUUUUGAAACUUUGUUCGUCCACCUAAUAACAAUUUAGUCUCGUCUCGUUCUCGUCUGACGAAAAUGAAUAUAAUUUUCGUCACAUUUUAGUCUUUACAGAGCUUUGGUGACGUUCGUCUUAGUCUCAUUUUCGUCAAGGAAAAAAGGGGUCUGACGUUGUCAUUUAAGUUUUCGUCCUGCCUGACGAAAACAACACUGCAACCCUUGCUAAACGUGUUAACUGAUGGCGUCUGUGUGGUGUGGUCUUAUUUCCCUUUGUCCCUUUGAUAGUUUGACAACUCCAGUAAAAACCCUCUAAUCCAAACUCCUGUCUCCUGUCAGUUUAUUUCUUGUCUGCUGAUUGAGUCCGACUGUUUUAACGUUUACUCACCUUUCUGCGUUAAAGCUUUAGACCCUCUCUAAUGCCAGCUGCCUGUCUAGCUGUGAGAUGGAAACAUGGCUGAUGGACCGCACUCAGGUGAAAAGUUUCGCCGCUCUCCGCUAUCUGCCCAGGCGCUUCGCAUUGUGGGUAACAGUAGGCGAAGCAGACUGUGAGAUUUUCCCGAAUCAGUACGUCAUCUGGGUAUUUUUUGCAUAUUGCGAAUUUUGCAUUUGCUUGCUUAUUGCGUACUGAAUUUUGGGCAAAUCAGUACGAACUGCUAAGAUAGUAGGUGAAUUCAGGAAACAGCCACGGUGUCUGACAGCGCUGUGUCUUUGUUGAUAAUUUCAACAUCAGUCACGCCAACAGGAUCUAAAAAAAAUCUAAUGUAAAUAAUUGAGAUGUGGCAGCAGGUCCGGGUUCGAACGGUCGGUGACUUCCUUUAAAAGUCUUUAGUUAAUGAGGACUGAACUCUGACUCCAGGUUUGGAGACGUGACUGCAACAAUAAACAAACUACAUUUACCACACAGGUCCGACUCACAGUCACUGAUUUGUGGCCUUUGUUGCUGUGCAGAUUCACUCUGAACACACACAAACACACACACACACACACACACACACACACACACACACACACACACACACACACACACACACACACACCAGUAAAUGCUCAUUUUAUGCUAAUAGCUUGGAAGUAUUUCCUUUGCUUUGUUCAAAGCUAAAAUGAGCUUGAAUUAAAGGUAAUUGAGGACAAAUCAACAUGCACAAUGCGUGGAGGGAGGAGAUGGCGGUGUUAAGUGGUGGGUUUGGCAAAUGUAAGGCAGGUUAAUUUCCCCAUUGCUGUUAAGUGGAGGCACACCGCUGCAUUUUAAUAAGAAUAAUUCUUCAUUGUGUGCAGGAGUCUCCGAAAAAAGCAGGUGGCUGUGUUAGAAAUGGAACCUUUUAAGUUACUGUGUAUUUUGAAGUUUAGUGUUGGUUAAAAAAACACGACGACAUUAAAGCAGAGUUUAUUAUUCCCUCUGAAAUCUUUGUGAAAAUGUAGAAACAGCCUCAAAGUCAGGACUUGUAGUAAACUCUCGCAGUUCAUUUUUCCCUCUCCUCUGAUUCACUGAGCUCUGGCAGCCUCUGAGCUCCGUGUGUCGGCCGCGACGCAGCGAUGCGAGAUAACUCGGCGUGUCACAGGAUGCCUUUUAAUAAUAGCCCCGAUGAUAAAUUACUUUAAUCAGAGGAGCGGGCUUUUCCUGUAACUUAUGAUACAGGAAGCUUGUGAAGAGAAUUGUUAUGCCAAGCCUCAUUGAGCGUCUUAAUGUGAAUCUUUACGUGUCCACAAUUAGAUUACGGCUGUGACAUGGCGGCCGGCCCGGUGCAGGCUCUCUGACGGCUUCUUCUCAGGGCGGUGGACGGAGGCAGCAGAGAGCGAAAUGAAGAAGCGUGUGUGUGUGUGUGUGUGUGUGUGUGUGUGUGUGUGUGGAGGGGGUGCAGAAGUCAGUGAACGGAUCAAUGGAAGUCAUUAUAUGGUGCUUACCGUUUGGCCAGGUCACGGUGUGAUGGAUGUGUUGUGGCAGGUAAUGGUCCUCUGCAGCCCCCGCCUCAGCAAAUGGAGAUGAUGAACUCAGAUGUGUUCGCUUGUCAACAACUCGUACCUUCGUCUGGUUCAGCAGCCGCCAGCAGGGCCUGGAACCCGCUUCACGGUUUACACGGAGGACACGAGCGGCUGAGCGACGGUUAUAAAAACAAUUAAUUUUUUUCUUUUUUAAAUGUGACUCUAAAAACGUAAAUUUAAAUGCUUCUUUGCAGGAACCACCUGAAAAUGUCCGGGUUUUUCCGAUCAGCUGUCAUCGUGAAUGUUGCAGAAAAGUUGAGCAGCUCUUCCUCGAUUUAUUUGGUGCAUAUUCUCCACAAAAGUGUUUGGUUGACAUUGUCAGAUGUUAUUGAUUGUAUUGAUUUUCACCCGACCAAACAUGUUUACGUGAUUUUCAUGAUGUUGCAUUUGUCUGAAUAUCAUUGGUCUCUGGGUAUCUUCAGCAUUUCCUUUGACAUCUUUGAAGGUAUAUUUGUUUCCCUGAUUUAAAACCUGUUUUUUCCUACAGACUCGUGUUCACAGGCUGAUUUUAGUGAUAGAGGGUAAAGUAGGUUCAGGUGGAUUUGAUAGCUGCAUGUGGGGAAUAAGGUCAGUAAGAGUGGUCCUGGAAUUUGAAUGCUAUCUUUAUUUAGCGCAGUGGUUAUGAAUAACUUUCACAAAGUUGUGAUUUUCAAAAGGAAUUCUACAAAUCUGCCAUAUUUCGGUUCUCUCUCUUGCAGCCGAGGACCCUGAAUCUUCACCAGAGAGGACUAACAUGCUCCAGGAAUGCGUGGUGAAGAAACUCAGUUUACAGUUUAUAUGUUUUUAUUUUUAUGAGUUUUUUGUUGAUUAAUGCCUAUUUGUCACAUAUCUAUAUGGUCCCCUCAUGACACUUUUUUCCCCUCCUUUUGGACAUUACACAGUUAAAAAUAAAAGAAAACUACUUUAAUUUGUCAGGUUUUGUCCUAUUUUUUUAUAUUUUGAUGACAAGUACUUUUUCUUGAGUAUAUUAUUUCAGGUAAAAAUAACCUGAUAGCGACAGUGAUGGUGUUACUUAUUUUAGCGAUGGUGUUCUAGGGUUAAUGACAAUUUUACAGAGACGAGAGGGUAGGGUGACCUUACAUCCUCUUUUACCUGGACAUCAGUGGCGGUUGCUUUAAGACUGCAAGGGAAGCUCGGCUUCCCUUAAAAUGUCACCCCCCCAAAAAAAGAAAAAGUGGUGAAAUACGUACGGCUGUGUGUACAUUUCAUUAACUAAAUACUUACUAGAAAGCCUUCAUCUUUUGUUCAGACACUGUGAUAAGAAGCUGAUAAUCACAGGUAACCGGCAUAACUUCGUUCUCAUUCAUCCUCGCAGCGCCUCAGCGCUUCAGUCGGACGCUGGGCUUCUGCUGACUUCAAUGUGGAAGCUAAAAGUGGGUUGUUCCAGCAGCGAAACUAGACGCUCAUUGGAUAAAUGCUGGGCUUUGUCCCGCCCAAUGGAAGCUAAGCUUCACUGGAGUUCUAUGGCGAGAGGGCGGUCCCGACUUUCUCCCGGACUCCAAGCUUCUGCAUUCAUGAUUGGAUGAGCUGUCUGAGGCGAAAUCCUUUUUUGAUUGACAGCUAAACAAGCGAAUCAGCGAUCUUGAAGAAUAAAACAUCUACCAGAGCAUUUUCCAAGUUAUUCAUUCUGUUGUUCUUAACUGCUCCAGAGACUUUACCGAUCCUCAGUGACUUUUGUCUUUGUUAAAAACGACUGCCGCUGUGUUUGGCGACUCUGUUCUGUUACAUACUAAUAAACAAAUACAAUUAUGAUGUAGGCCAGAAAAAUGAGCUUCCCCUCCUUGAAAGACCAGCAGCCGCCACUGCUGGACAUGUCCUCUUUUUGGGGGACUGUCCGACCUUUUCCUGGGGAGUUUUUAAAAUCCUUUAAAUGUCCAGGGCUUGGUAUGGAAGUUUUGAGUUGUUGUAGCGUGAACUAACUGAGUUAGAAGCGCGUAAAAAACACUCAACCUGACCUGAAACCCCUCAAAAUUUACUACAGAUGACUCUGCAACUCUGCCCCGCAUAUUCAUGUCCUCUUUUAGGGGAUUCAGAAUAUGAUCACCCUACAAAAAGUUAUUUAUUAGCAUUGGAAAUUUGACAUUAAAUAACUUCUUAUAGUUUUGGGUAAAAGAAAAAAACAGAUUGAUUCCACAGAUCUUUAACAAACUGUGGUUUUUGCAGGUUUUCUUAAGAGGCUGCAGAGAAAGGAAACAAACUCAGCCUUCGCUCGGGGAUGUAAAGUGAGACUGCAUUAGCAUCAUUAACCCUUCGUGGAGAAAGAAAUCCGCUCUGCUCUUUGUGUGACAUUUUCCAAGGAACGAUGCCGCACUUCUUUCAAGAUGUUGCUUGAAAUAGCAGAGAACAUAGGAUUGUGGAGCAAAAAGGAAAACAUGUUGAGCGUCUGAAGGUCGUAAACAGCUCAUAAAUGAGAAGCAGGGAACAAAGAGCGGGGUCAAAGGUGAAGUGUUCUGCACAAAGCUGCACCAGCUUCAGAUGAAAUCAUUCAGAGGAGCUCCUGAGCUGAUUUUGUAUCACAUCACACUCGGGUUCAAUAGAGCGGCGAAUAAAAGACAUUUCUGCCUCCAGCCUCCGAGCUGUGCCGUCUUCCCGCAUUUAUCCUGUAAGUCCUUCAUUGUAUCCUGAUAAAAGCCGGAGAAAUGUUACGAAACAGCUCGGCUCGCUCCGCCACCGCCGCCAUCGCUCCCACCGCGCCGCCCUCCCUGCAGGCUGAAGGAGUGACACACAGCGGGGAUGGAGAGGCCAUUUUGUCUUUUUGGAAAGGCACUUUAGCUGCAGCCGCUCUGAGUGCUUUUAUCAUUAUACGCCACUACAGUCUGGCCAUUUGUUCUGACCUUGGGAAAUGGUUUUAAAGGUCUCACCGUGUAUGUAUGUGUGCUCCAGAAAUUGCCUGGAUUGAGACGUUCCAUGAAAAUAUGUAGUGAACGGCCUCUGUCGGCCCAGGCGGGGGUGGAUAAGGGGAAAGCUAUUUGGGGGACGGGGGCACAAUCCAAUUUGUUUGUUCACACUCCAGCAGAGCCAGAUCUGAACAAUUGAUACAUUAGGACUGGUUUUAGAGAGCAAAUAUGGCAGCCUGAGAGAGAAAGAGAGGGAGAGGAGGAGAAUAUACUGCAGAGAAGUGCUCCAAGAGUAAAUUUACCUCAUGGGCCAUUGCACAGGGCGCAAUAUGAAACUAUGAUAAAAAAGAAAUUGCUUUAUUCUUUAAGUUAUCAAUAUAAUUCUGUCUCCGUGGCUGGCCCGUCUCAUUCUGGCGGCAGGAAUCUUUUGUUACCGCGAAUUUUCUGUUGCAAAAAAAAGCAGAAGAAGAAGAAAAAAAAACGCACUUGUGAGGGUUCAUUCAACAUUCAAAGAUAAAUGCGCUCCAGGAGAGCGAUGCCUCACUCAAUUUGAAAAGCCCUGGCAUGCUGUAACAUCCAAAUCCUUCAGAGUUGAACAUGUCAUCUCUGCCUGCAGUGACAAAGGAAAUAAAUUAGGAAAAUGCAAUGUCCUUAAAUCACAAUGUGGAGCUGGGCGAGAAAAAACCCAGCCUGAGCCAAUCUUAUCAGCGAGGACGACACAGUCCAGUUCUGCACAGAGAAAAGGGACAGCUGUUAUUUCCUAUUCAGCUGCAGGAUCCCCGGGCCUGAUAGCGUCUAAUAACACGCCAUAAAUUAAAUCUGCCGCAUCAGUGCGCUCACGACGGCGUCCGCUCGGAUAAAUAGUGAGGUUCGAUGUCGCAAAACGAGAUUUUGGCAAACCAUUAUGGGAGGCUGUAGUAAUCUUUUUUUCAUUUUCAUUUGUUCAUUUAAUAGGAUUAUUCAUGAGGCAAUGAUGACAGCAUGAGGAGGACGGGCCGAUGCACAAAAAGGGAACCGGUGGCUGUUUCUGAUUUUGCACAAAUCUGAAGGUAAAGCAGCAGAUUUUUUCUUUUUUGUGGAAAGAGAAUUUGAGAACAUUUAGAGGUGCAUUUCUGACAUACUUGAACACCUGCGAGCGCCGACCAAAAAUCUGAAGAAUUCACAGAGUGGUUAUCGUAAAUUGUGGAUAAAAUUCUCGGAUUUCUUGAAUAAAAACUGGCAGCAGAGAUUCGAGGUCAUUAUAUAACACUGGACUUCCUCACAAAAGACUUUUGAAAGUUGUGUUUCAUUCGCCAACUUAUAUUUGGAGGAGGAAAAAAUAUAAUCACAGCAGAUUUUAUUUUAACAUUUGUCUUCUCUAUCAGGUCGUUUGAGAUCUUUUUUAUUUUAAAGGGUUUGUCCAUAAAGCACUCCUGAGAGCUGAGAAUUUAACUCUGGUACAAAGACGUCAACUUCGAUAAGAUCUGAGCUAAAAGAACUGAAGUUAACGUUAAAAUCUGCUCAAGCUGCCGAAGAGAGCAGCUGUGCAUCCCCCGUAUCCAAAUCCAGAGCCCUCAUCCUGGACCUGACUCUGACCCCGUUUAUACGUACCCGGUUAUUUUUUAAAAUAAGACAUUAACCAUCGUUUGCGCCCUUCGUUUAGAUGCAAAUGGAGAAUUCGCCCCUGAAAACGAUGCUUUUUAAAAACUCCGUCCAGAGUGGAGAUUUUGGAAAACUCAGUUUGCAUGUAAAGAGAGAAAAACUGAGAUGUGGGUAGCUGACGGCAGACUGUGCGCCGGAAAGAAGGAAGUGACGUUGUUGUUGUUGUUUUGUGGGAUUCUGAUUGGCUAAUAUGGGCUUGAGCUUUUCGCUACACUGCCACCUACAGGUUUGGCAUGCUCUUGACAGCAUAUACACAUAACUCUUCUACUAACGUAGUGGUGUGAAUGCGUCUUUUUUUGUAAACAGAGAGGGUGAAAUGUCAGUUUAUGAAAACAGCCGGGCACGUGUAAAUGUAGUCUCAGACCUCAGCCUGAGUUUGAUUUAGAGAAAUGACUCUAAAGUUUUUCUUUCUCUUUAACAAACUUCUCUGUGUGUGGAAAAAAAGGGCUCACAAACAAACAGGUCUUGUAUUCGAGGCAGGCCUUAAUAUGAAACCUCUGAGUCUGAGCUACAAAUAGAGUCCAUGGCUUUUGUUCGUUCUAAACUUGUGCAAACCGGUUAAAAAAGACAUUAAGUAAUUCACAAAGCAUGCACAAAAUGUUAACUCCAACUCAACCAGUUCGAUCAUGAAGUACCUGUGAUGGUCUGUGUCUCAGGAGAACCAAAGGAGGCCGAUAAACGCAGAAACCAAAGCUUCAUGACAUCCUCCACAGAUCCACACCAAAGAGGAUCCAGAUCAAGUGUGAAUGACGCAUAAAUCUAAAGUCAAAACUCGUCUCGGGGGAUUAAACUUGAAGUCUGGUAGAAGCAGAUGUCAUCUCCACCCUGUUGACUUUAGUUGAAUUUUCGCUGCUUUAGAAUAAACUGUGUCUAAACUCCCCUCUGACUGUAAAUUAGUGCUGUGGAAACUGAGCCGGAGCACACAGGCACUGCUGCUGCCAAUAGCUGGAUGUUUCUAAUUACUCAAAGCCUCAUUUAACAAACCGUUCAUUAGUGACACCCACUGGUAAUAAUAAUUUAAACUUCAUAAAUAUCAUCUUUCAUAUCCUGCUGCCACAGCACUUCACAUUACUGUUGUGACUCCAGCAACUCUGAAGGUUUUCGAGAAACUUCUGAACUCUAGUUAACAUGAAAAAGUGAUUUUCACUGAUUUAAUUCGGUCACUUUGGGGAAAACGGUCUCAUUUUAAAGACAAAGUUAAAUAUCUGUUUUUGUUCAGGGAGACAAACUUCAGUUUCUGGAGUUUGGAAAGAGGAAAGUUGUCCUUAAUAGUAUAAACUCUUUAAAACAAAGGACGCAACAUCUGUCAUUUCCAAUUCUGCAUUGAAGGGCAAGUAGAGUGGUCUCCCUAUUCUUUAAAACUGAGGUCGCAGCAUCUAUUGUUUCCAGUUCUUUGUUGAAACACAAGUGGGUUGGACCUUCUACUCUUUAAAACAAAGGAUGCAGCAUCUAUGUUAUUCAAUUCUUCACAAAAAGGACAUGCCAGGGGAACCUUUACUCUUUCAAACUGAGGACACAGCAUCUAUCAUUUCCAAUUCUGCGUGGAAAGGACACGCUGGGUAGACCCUCAACCUUAAAACUGAGGAUGCAGCAUCUAUGAUUUCAAGUUCUUUGUUGAAACACAAGCGGGUUGGACCUUCUGCUCUUAAAAAAUGAGGAUACAGCUUCUAUGAUUUCCAAUUCUUCAUUGAAAGGACAAGCUAAAUGGACACAAAACUCUUUGAAACCAAGUGGCGCAUUACCUAUAAUUUCUAAUUCUUCGUUAAAGGGAAAGUCAUGUUGACUCUACCCUGCAGUAUCUAUGAUUUCCAAUUCUUUGUUAAAAGGACAAACUGUGUAACUCUUUCAUCUCUGUAAAACCAAGGAAGCAGCAUCUAUAAUUUCCAAUUCUUUGUUGUGAGGACUAGCUGGAUGGACCCUCUACUCUCUAUGACUGAGGACGCAGCAACUAUGAUUUCCAGUUCUUUGUUGAAACACAAGCCGGUCGGACCCUCUACUCGUUAAAACUAAGGAUGCAGCAUCUAUGAUUUCCAAUUCUUCAUUAAAGGGAACGGCUGGUGGACCCUCUACUCUUCCGUAUCUAUGAUUUUCAAUUCUUUGUUGUUUGGACAAGCUGGGUGGAUCUUCUACUCUUUAAACUGAGGAGGCAGCAUCUAUUAUUUCCAAUCUUUGUUGAAAGGUCAAGCUGGAAGGACCCUCUACUCUUCAGUAUCUAUGAUUUUCAAUUCUUCGUUGAAAGGACAACCUCAUUGGACCCUUUACUCUUUAAAACUAAUGAUGAAGCAUCUAUGAUUUUCAGUUCUUCGUUUAAAGUCCAGUUGUCCUUUCCAUGCGUUGAUUUCCACCCCAGAGUCCUGUCUGUCUUUAAUACCCUGAAGAUCAGGACCGUCCAGUCCUGGUUUUGGUCCUUACGUACAGAGAUUUCUCUGGUUUUGUUUUUUUCUUUCCCAGCUUUUGCGAAAUAACUUCCUUUGCAUCAAAUCUAAGACGUGUAAAUAUUCAUUUUCAGUCAACAACUCUUUUUAUUUUCAACUUCUGAUUUGCUGUCCCUGCCUUAUUUUCAUUUAAAUGCAGAGUCUGAACCAUCAUGAGCAUUUUUUCUUUACUUUUUACCCACCAUCCAAACUUUUUUCUGACUCCAGGUUGCAUUUCCACGGCAGAAUCGCUGAAUUAUGAACGUACGAAUCUGUUAGCGAUAUAAUAUCUCAUGCACAGACUCUGCGUUGUCAGACCCGGCAGACAAACCAAAGUCAGACUGGUGUAGCUCGGAGCCCCGUUUUCUUCCUCGCUCCUCUCUUUUGUCUCUAAGUAACACUCAAAAUAAAAAGCCUCUUAAUCCAUCUUCUCCUGCAUACAGCCUCUUUCCCAGGCAGCAGAAAUGGUAAAGUACAUAAGUCUGCAGCGUGGAGUCAGCCUUCUACAGAGGAACCAUCUGUCUUCAUCAUUCUCUGGGCACAAUUGAUCUGCAGCACUCUGGAAAGUAUUUAUUAUGAAAAGUCUCAUUUUUUAAGCGGCCCGUUUAAAGCAGCAGCGGCCAUAAAUCACCCCUGAAUCAGAGCGAAUCAGAGCAGCCCUCCAACUGGAAUCCAUUAUUUCUAUUAUAUCAGCUCUAAGUGGACAUAACAGCUUAAUCCAGUAUCGAUCUGAGCAUGUGCGCUGGUCAUCCCAUCCAAUCCGGCCCCGAUCUCCGAGAUGCUGCGUGACGAGCCUCGCAUCUGCUCUCACUUUAAAUAAUCACGGAGGAGAGUCUGUGAGCUAGUUCGGCUAACUCCUUCCUCAUUAGAAAGUAAUAAAUAACGCGUGUGUGUGUGUGUGUGCGUGUGUGUGCGCGUGUGUGGGGUCUAAUCCUGGCUAAUACUCUGUUUAAUACCGGAGAACUUCAGCGAGCUGGCAGUGCUGGUAAUUAAGUGAGCAGCAGUCUGUUCUGAUGGCUCUCAUACACACGGGCAUAAAUUAUUGAAGUGCCGUUAAAAUAAAUAAUAAAGUCGAUCGCAGCAUUUUGGAUGUGGGCGGGAGGUUAAAUUAUGCAUGAGCUCAAUAUUUGUAAGUGUAAUAGGAAGUAAGUGUGGUGGUUUUUAAACCGCGAGGAAAUAAAUCCCCCUCCCCAGUGCUAAUAGCCAGAUUUAAUUUAAGAGGAGAAAAAAACUCUGGAGUCAAAGUCGACGGCAGAUAUCAGAGUAAACAUACACGAAAUGAUGCCGCGGCGGUCUCCCAGGGAGUGUUUACACAACACGCCAGGAUGCCUGGUUCAGAUUUUUGAUGAUGUUUCACAGCCUGAGCUCCGACUGCUGCUGCUGCAGGAGGAGGAGGGCUGCGAUGGUACCAGGAUCAGGAGUGAGAGUUAGCCUCGGGGCUCUGGACCUGACCGCUCAGAUUUUGUAAUGUUAGCACCUUCUCGAUGUCGAAGAAAAUCUGACAUUUACAGCAUCUGAAACUAAAAUUCAUGGCAUUUAUGAUCUUCAAACAACGCUCUAAUGCUGUGUUCCAGUUGUACUCGGAAGUCAGGAUUUCUGAGCUCCGAGUCGCAAAUUCAUCUGGAACACCCCGAAGUCGGAUGCUUUUCACCAACCCUGACUUAACGACAACGUCAUAAUCCAAGAUGGCAGCGCAGUGCAUCAACAGUAAAGAGUAACAGUAAAAGAUCUCGUAAUGUUUUAUUUAUUCACACUUCUGUUUUGUUUUUGUGAAAUUGAAUAAGUGGUUUAUGUUGUACGGCCCAACGUCUAACUGUGAACACGGUGCUGUGGUGUUUGUCAGAGUAAAAUACUGUGUUAUGUGCGGUGAUGUGCUAAACUGGUAUAGCUAACAACAACUAACAACAGCUGAGAACGGCUAACAAUCGCUAAUAACAACUAAUAACAACAAACAACGGCUAACAACAGCUAACAACGGCUAACAACAGCUGACAAUGGCUAACAACAGCUAACAACAACUAACAACAGCUGAGAACGGCUAACACUCGCUAAUAACAACUAAUAACAACAAACAACGGCUAACAACAGCUAACAACGGCUAACAACAGCUGACAAUGGCUAACAACAGCUAACAACAACUAACAUAGCUGAGAACGGCUAACACUCGCUAAUAACAACUAAUAACAACAAACAACGGCUAACAACAGCUGACAAUGGCUAACAACCACCAACAAUGGCUAACCACUAACAGCAGCUAACAACAGCUGACAAUGGCUAACAUCCGCCAACAACUACUAACAAUGGCUAACAAUUGCUAACAACAACCAACAACAGCUAACAGUGGCUAAUGACUGCUUACAAUUGUAAACAACAGCUUACAACUGCUAACUGUAGGCGUCCAUCUUGUUUUUUUGACUUGUUAACAGGAACGCCGUCGACUCGGGUGUAACGUCAUUCCCAUUUCCGACAUCUGACUUCUGAGGUAACUGGAACGCAGCUUUAACAUCCGCAGCUCUGUGCAGUUUGCUCUUGUUUUGCAGGUGAUUGUAAGGAGGAGCUGUCAGCAUCUACAUCGAGCUGGGCUGUUCUCCUUUUUUAUCUGCUCAGCGCCCAAUCCUGACCAGAGUCCUGUCAACAUACUUCCUAAAAAGGUCAGUCUUGGACCUCCAUCUUUGUAGUUUCAGAGUAUUUACAGAGACCUAACACAAGCACACCUCCGACAAGCAAGCUGGCAAAGAUGGUUCAAACUCCGCCCCCCUCCCCUAAAAAACUGCACAAGUAUGUUGUUUUACAGAAUGGUGCAUCAACACUUCAAAAUAGCUUUCUUGGAUUGUUGGUGAGACUGGAAUAGACCCACAAACACGGUCCUUGUAUGUCUCCAAACCGACAUGAGCCUGGAGUCUGAGCCAACCAGACGAGCUCCGACAAACACACGAGAACGGAAAUAUCUCGUGAAAUUAAUGAGUUGUGUUUGGCAGAUAAUGGAGCGUCCAUGUUUGACAUCAUGAUUUGUUGUGUGAGGUUUUUUUUAGGAGAGAAGUUUUCAGCUUUUGGGCUCCAUCCCGUCAAACCCCAGCUGACUCUCGUGUGGAUAACUAGAGAUCAGGGUGGAACAAAGCGCUAAUGAUCAGAUCUUUAUGUUUGUGGUGAACGUGUAGGAAGAUUGUUUUUGUUGUUUUUAAUAAAGAAGAAGAGUCAGUUUCCUUCUUUUUCCACUCUCUGUGAGCUCACUGGAGUUUGAGUGGAUUCUGUCUCCAAGUGUAGACCCGUUUGUAUGACCAACAUGUAUGGACACACACAAACACUCAGGUUGAUUCUCACCAGUAAUGGCCUUCAGCCUCCCUCCUCCGUCUGGUCGAUAAAUAGGCUGAAACCGAGCGUGAAAUGAAAAGCAAGUGAACAGCGUGAAAUGGGACUAAAGUUGGGAAAAUGGACGUAUUUAUCCUUUUGUUUUUGAAGGAGGCUGGGGAAAUAAUGGCACAGUUUUUACAUAAAACCAUGCAAUCUUCACAAACAGCCCCGAUAUUACACUUAUUUUUCACGCCCUGCUCCUGUUUUAUUCCGUGUUAUAAUGGAUCAUUGUCGGUGACGGAGGUCUGCUGUUGUUUCAGUCUGAUAUGCAAAUGAGAACAACGCCGGGAAAUUACACAAACAACGAGUUAAGACGACAAUGCAGAAAUGCGCAGGCUCAGAGAGGGUCAACGUUUCCCUUCAAUGUUGAUUUUCUUUCUUGUAUUUUUGUAAUAACCAUUUCACCGACUGUUAAGGCAUGACAUGAAGCUUUAUUGACUUCAUUUAUGAUAGUGAACCGCUCCUUUUUUAGAGCCUUUGUGGUUUUUCCUGCUAAUGCAGCUUUGUGCAACUUUUUGUGGACUUUUUCAUCUUUACUGCAGACCGACUUUAACAGUAAGCACAGUAAGAAACUAUAUUAUCAAAGUUAUCUUUGCACACUUGCUUUCUGUAAAUACAGAAACAGAAAAAAACGUGAAGAACUUUCUUUCUUUCAUGGUUACAAAUAAUGAUUUCAUGACGGGUAAAUUGCAGGGUGCAGCUCUUUGAAGGGUAUCAUUAACUUGCGAAACUCUGAGAUAAAUCUCUCAAUCCUGUUACAUUUAUCUGUGUUCACAAAGCUGGGACACAUUUCUUCAGAUGUAACCGUACACCACUGACCGGAUUAUCACAGAUUAAUUUACAACGAUGUUAUAGAUGCUGAUGUGAUAUUGGACAAUGUUAAAAACAGUAAAAAUAGCAAAAAUAGAAAAAGAGUUUGUAUUGUUGACUGUUGAAAUUCAUCUAUAAAGUAUGUUAAAGAUGGUGUAGUCAGGAUCUGAGUUAGUUCCAGUUUUUUAGGAGAAAUCUUGAAUGUAAACUCUACCCCUCCCAACCAGUUUUCCCCUCAGCUCCUCCUCUCCCCUCCCUCUCUGCUCCAACAAGCCCCGCCCACAAAUGGAUAAAUACUUCAGAUCAUUACAAAUGGGGCCCAGUCAAGGUGAAAGUCAAAAGCACUGGUGCUACUGUAGAUGCCAACAGACUACCAGCAAACACAAUGUUUGCAGGACUUCUACAACUAGGAUAAAGUGACAUAGUCCAGGACCCGAGGGAGGACAGUUUAGCGAUGGUGCUACAACACGCUACAGCAGGUCCGUUUGACAAGAAACACUUCUGUUACAGACACUUGUCUUACUUUGUUAAAGCGGUUUACCUGUCCAGCAGAAAGGUUACAGGGUCACCAAGAUCCCCAAGCGUCCCCCAUCGUUUAUGUUGACCCGGCUUUUUAGCUCUUGUCCGGUCUACCUCCGUUUUAAGCGCCCGUUAUUCCUCCAGAGUCUCCGGUAUUUACUUUGUUUUCUUGCUUGUGUCGGCAGUCGUGGCCAAAGGAGGAUUCAGACAAUUUUCCGAACUUUCUGGUUGGUUUCUACUGUCCGAUAUUGUAGCACGCUAACUUUGUUUGGGCUCCUGAACGACACUGGGGAGCAGUGUCUGCCUCACAACCAAUCAGGUUAGAGGAGGUGGAGAACGGCUUUGUUUACAGUCAGAAAGAGCGGACCGCUCAAAAAUGUUCAAAUGUUGACGACACAGACAUAAGAGAACACAGAGAUAUCGAUAUAUUACCAAAUGUCAUCAAUAACUAAUAACUAUUGACUGAUAUUAAAAGCCUUUUUGUAAAUACAUCACAAAAAAAGAUGCUUUUUUUGCAGAAUCCUGCCUACCCCACCUUUAAAUAGUAAAGUGUAAGUUUAUAUCGGUAAUCUCUUGGUUUUGUCAAUAUCAGACACUCCCAGUUAUAGCCAGCAGGGGGAGCAUGUUGCUUUUCAACAGCAUAUUUCUCCCCUUGCAGCACACUGUGCAGGGGUGUAACACCAGCAAAUAUUCAGUUUGUGUUGAUUUGGCGCCCCCUGUGGACAAGCUCGUCCCUUAAUCCAGGUGCCGACACUAAAAACCCAAAACUAACAAAGUCAUCUGUUAUGAUUUACGCCUCUCCUGAACCGGAGACCUCAUUCAUUUGUCAUCCAGUAUAAAAUCCAUGACUCCAUGCAGCCAAGCCCACCCAAUGCAUCAUGGGAAAGUUCAUCUGCACAAGGUUAGCACAGAAUUGAUCUCAGACGGCGAGUAUUGUGUGUGCCCGGGUGUUCAAUAGUUUUAAAAGAAAAAAACGACAAGAGCUCAACAUGCAGGUUUAUUCUUCAAACCAAGCAUGGAGUGUGUGUUUGUUUGCAUGUCAGCGUGCAUGUGUGUGUGUACGUGUGUGUGUGUGUGUGUAUUUCGACACAAUUAAAACGUCCUCUCAGCGCCGGGUGCCAAUGCAUCACCCUGAUGACAGUGGACAGGCUGUUUGCUUUGCUGCCGCUGAUAUCGAGCUUAAUGAUGUUGUCCUUCAGUGAGGCUGCUGAGGCUGACCUGCCCAUCGCUGAGGCGUGGCAGCUGGCGUGUGUGUAAAUGCGUGUGUGUGUGUGUGUGUGUGUCAGACUGAAGCUGUGGUCAGAUGCUGAGGUGAGGCGCCGCCAGCAGGGACUCUAGAUGUCAAACAGAUAGAAUCAGAUCAUGUUGUUUGACAUGUGGAGCUGCAGGAGGUGAAGAUAGACGGUAUCACGGCUGAUCGGAAAAAUCUGAUCCUGUGGAGGUGGGGUUGGUGUUGGUGUGACUCCUCAGUGUGGAGAAAAGCCUCCAGGAGCUGCGGUGUCAUUUCGAUGAUAAAUGUGAUAGACUCGCUUCUGGGGAAACCUUUAAAGUUGGAGGAAGAGAGAUCCUGUGACUCUUAGAUUUCCAGCUCAGCGUUUCUCCGUACUUUUGCGUCACACAUUCGAGUCACCUGACAAGAACUGAGCUAAAACAGCACCCCGGGGAGAAGAACCUGAACAGCGUCCCCCUGAUUAGACCGUCUAAAGUCCGUCAGGAUUGUAAAUAUGCAGUUUAAGGUUUUCCUUGACCCCCUAAAACUCUGCUGGAUCACCAGCGAUCCCACGUGAAACCAUCAAUAUAGUUUACAGUUUCUCAGGAACUAUAUCGUUUAUCUCUACAGGAUAAAAAGUGUUCAAAAGUUUUCCCUUUUGGCGAUCUAUCGAGGGUUUCCAGAUAUUUCUACACCUGCUACAAGGUUUACAAUCCAGCCACAAAAACAGGUGUUUGAUCAGAGACGUUCACUAUCUCUAAAUGUCUUCCGGAUGACGUCUUUUUCUGUCAAACUUUCGACCAAUUACAUGGUCUCAUAUUCUUCUUCUAUUGUUCCCUUGAUGGUAGUGUCCCAUAAGAGGCGACCAAAGAUCAACAAGAGACAAGAAAGUUCCAAGAAAAAUCAGAAAUAAUGGUCCUCAGUGUUUGGAAACAAGCAAAGAAGAGAUUCUCAUCCCAGAGUGGCAAAAUAAGAAUGAAAAUAGUCAAAAACACCUGGAAGAAUGAGUGUAAAUAUGUCAAUAGUUUCUGUUGUGUGUUUGUUACAGUCCCAAUAUUUCCUCUCCUGAUAGACAAGACUUGAGAGAAUGAUGUUCAGGUGAGAAAAGGCUCGGUCACUGUAGAUUUAUGUGGUUUUUGAGCAAAGAACUGUUGGGAUCUGUUGGUUGACUUUGAUGGUUCUGGAUCUACUGUCACAUUCAUUUUACAUCAUUUUUGCAACAAUAGAAAAAAAAAAAAGGAUGUUUAUAUAUUUGCUGUGCUUAAAGGAUUGAGUUGCUACAUAGAUUUUUACAAAAACAAAAAACAGGCGGACCAAAAAUAGCAAACUAUAGCUGGGAGUUGUAAGGGUUAAAUGCAGAGGAGUGUUGGGAGUGUGCACCUCUGCAGAGAGAGUUUCAUCCUGCAGGAGCCGCCGUCCUUCCCCCUCACUCUGACAGAAACAUGAGGAACAGCAGAUUGUUGAUAAAUGUGAGCGUGUGUAAAUGUCUCCUGAUGUACAGUCAGCAUAACCGGCUCUGAAUUAUCCUCUCUUUCAUUACACUAAUGGCUCAGCGGCGUGCAGCAGAGCGGCUGCAGAGGAAGAGCGAGUCGAGGAGGAGGAGGAGGAGGAGGAAGGAAAUGAUUAUUUUCAGCGGGGUUUCACAUACAGGUGGGAAAAGGGCAAACUCUCAGCUGGUGACGUUCAUCAACCGCCGCUGUAAAGGUCACGCCAUGUCUCUCGACGUGCACCCGAACCCGAAGGCGUGUUUACCCCUGCUGGGCGCCCACCACCCCUCCUCCACAACUAUGCAUCUCCCCAUCCUCUGAUUUUAUUAGCCCCCGUGGGAGAGCGGCUGAAAAGCGUGUAAACACACAGCGCUGGUUUAAUAUCCUCAUUCGGGGGCCUGAUGAGGCUGUUUUAGUAAAAAUCAACAUUUAAACAGCUCUGACACGGCGAGCAGCGCUGACCUAUUUCACCAUCUGCUGCUUCGCUUUUGUUUGUCUGUUUUUGUCAGGAACAAUCCCGCCACUUUCCCCCCUUGAGUUUGAACCAGUCAAACUCAAACACGUCCGGGCCGAGCUGAGCGAUUAUGACUCCGCUUCUGCGGGACGUCUGCUAAUAUAUGGACGGUCCCGCCUCGCUCCACGUCAUUAAUACCUGUCCGCGGGUCCUCUGUGUGCUUACAUCAUGGCGUGCCUGCUCAGCAGAAAGCCAACAAACACAUUAAGGUGAUGAAUCGCUGAGAUCAUGGCACUGGGGGGAAAGUGGGGCAGCGGUCCGAUGUUCUGAUGUGUCACUGGAUCUCAGACGGAGCCAACCCGACCUUUGACCUCGACACAGCGGCUCAGGACAAAACUGGGAUAAUGGGAACUUUUCUGCACGCUGUGUGGGCGUUAAUAAGAUCGGGAACACGGACAAAAAGGCGUGAAGGAUUAUUAAAGACCUGGAGGACCUUUACGCCGUCAUGCUCAGGCGGUAAAACACGAAAUUAUAACCGGGUUUUAUUUAAGGUGGAGCCGCAAAGACCUGGAUUAACCUGUCUGUGAGUUUUAACAUGAAAAUACUCCUCUGUUAGAUGAUCUGCUAAUCUGACUCCAACUCUGGACUACACCGCUCAACACUGCCCCCAUGAUUUCCAGUGGUACUACACGCCUUCCAGUGUUUAUGUAUGCAAAACAAGCGAAGAGCAAAAAUGAGCCUUAAGUCUGUUUCUAAAGGUCAGAAAACAAACAAAACAAACUCACAUGUCAAAGUUCAACAGAGGUAAAUGACCGGAGCUCCGACUGUGUGUGUGUGUGUGUGUGUGUGUUUGGUCUGAGUCAUGAGUGUACGUUUUGGCACAUUUACAUGUCUGUUAAGGGGAUAUCAACUACUUUAAUCAUUUAUGUCAUUUAAAGAUGUAAAGAAGUGAAGCAGCACUCACACACAAACAACAGCAAAAAGAAAACCCCCAAAACCUGUCCAAUAAAUAAAGAUAUUUCACCUCUAAUAAAGGACCUGAACUGCUUGUAAUGAGUUAAAAAGAAACAGCAACAACAACUUAUGGUCUUAAUUUGGGAUUACAUAUAGAAUGGUGGAAAUAAAAGUUGAAGACGAGGGCAAACAAGGUGCAUCAUCAGGAGAUACUGCAGGUGCAUUCGCAGUUUCUCCUCAUGGACCUUGUUUGCCCUUGUUUUCAACUGUUAUUUUCACCAUCGUUACAGAUUCAAAAACACCUGCUGAAUUCAAAAAACACAUGAAAAAGUAAAAAAAAAAACCACAUGCAAAAGAUCAAAAACGAAAAACAAAAGUUCAAAAACCACAUGUGAAAAUUUAAAAAACACAUGCAAUACUUUGAAAACAUGCAAAGGUUUGAUAACCACAUAUAAAAGUUUGAAAAGCAAAUGCAAAAGUUCAGAAAACACAUGUAAAAAUGAAAAUGUGCUGGAAAUGAAAAAGUACUUCAAAAAGAACUAAAACAGCAACAUGAGCAGCAAACAUGCUGCGAAACCCUCCAAAGCUGAAACCAGCUCCAAAAAUGACAAAAACUGCAAAUAGACAAUAAAUAUAUUUUUGAACAGAAGUCCUCCAGGCCUGUAGGGGGCGCUGAGUGACACAACAAUAGCCAGAGCUGCAUCACUGCAGGAUGAAUUAUUAACAAAUAACAGACCUAAAGAAUAAAAAAACGGACAUGUACCUGAGUUCUGCACACAUCCACAUGUGUGACAUUUAAUCCUCAUUCUUUAUCCUCACUUGUCCCUCAGGGCCACCGUACAUUUAACCUACAGCAGUUCAUAUUUAAAUCUGUUUUUUACUGUACCUCUCCUGCUUCUCCCUUUUUUUUACUCUAGUACAGUUUUCAUUAUACAGGCAGUUGCACACAGACUGUGUUCCUCCUGAGAACAGAGCACCUUUUUAUUUUCUGUACAGCUCUCUCUCUUUCUCUCUCUCUUUCUCUCUCUCUUUUCUUUCUCUCUUUCUCUUUCGUGUCGUUUUGAAAACUUUAUCGUCAGUUAACUUUUCUUCGUACUUUUCACAGAUUUCCUCUGAUUGCUGGGCGUCAUAAAGAGGUGAAGCCGAGGGCGAAUCUCGUCUAAUCUAAAACUCAAAGUGAGUUGAUGUGACUCUGUGUUUUUCUCACCAUUCAGCACAUAGACGGGUCCGUUUUCGUACAUUAAAAUGUUUAAUUAAAAGUUUUACUCCACUUUUGGCAGGAGCUAACCCUAUUUGUGGACACUCGCUUCCUCGGCGUCAGUGUGUGUGUUGCUGUGUUUGCAUCUCCGCAGCCAACACACAAGGCUGAAAAGCUGCUGGAGAGCAGACGAUCCAACAAUCCUGAGUCAUUUAGAUCUGGAUAAAAGCCUUUUGUACACAGCCUGUUUCUCCAGAAAGCUAAUUAAAAAGCCAAACUUCAUGUCUGCUCCUCGGCACUUUGCACGACAUUGAUUACGAAUUGAAUUUAAGACAGAAAUAUGCCUUCAAGAUGUUAAGCCAGGAUGAGAACUUAGAGGAACCGUGCACUUCCAAAUUAACUAGCUACAAAGACUCUCUGUGGUGCGUUUCUGACUCCGUCUGUUUGCGCAGCUCUCCAGCGAGGUUUUGUUGGGGGAUUAGGACCUGGCUGCUCCCUCAGUCAGCAGGUGUUUUGGAGGCUGGAGCUCCUUCUGUAUUUUUAUCAUAUAGGCCGCUGCACCCAUUCAGUCUGCGGCCCCUCUGUGAUUUAGCACACGGGGCUUAGCGCGGCGAGAGGAGGAGGGGGGGGCUCGGCCUACUUUAUCAACGUUAAUUUCAAAGUCUCGACCUGCUUGCUCAGCGGAUUCAGGCGGCGGCGGCGGAUUCCUCCUCUGCUGGCCUCCUUUUUUUUUUUUCCUGCCGCCUCAGCAGCCCCGUGGACCGGAGCGCCCUCGACGAGCUCCGUAAAGCUCCGGGACUCAGCAGGCCAAGACCUGAUUUUCCACCUCGUGUGUGUGUGUGAGUGACAGCUGCCGGCUGACACGCCGGACGCAGCUGACCACUAAAUGUUUUGAUGUUUUUCAGCAGAUUUUCAGCGUCUUUGUUUGUUCGGGGAGCUGCUGUUCACGGCGGCGGAGCAGAACUGAUGAUCACGGCCGGCGAGAAACAUCCAUCGCUGUUUCUCUGCGGGGGGCGAUUUGUUCGUCGUGCUGGAGGGUUAUUGACAGCAGCUACACACACACACUCACACACACUCUCACACACACACACAGAAAGAACAUAACACGGAUCAUUUCUUUUCACUGAUGAAAAAUAUUCCUCGCUGUGGGAAACAGUCCAGGAGAAAAUGAAUGAAGUUCUACCUGAGCUGCUCCAUUAAGACGAUGAAACCAACUUCAUCUUCAUCCUCCAGGUUUCAGGAGACGCUGACUGAGCUUCAAAAUAUCUAAUGAGGUGUCACAAAGCUUACUACCUGGACCUGAUCAACCUGAUGUGUUUCUGUACAGCUCAUAAACAACUGUGCCACAAACACGACCAUCAAUCUCGCCCUGAAAUAACGGAGGUUUGGUAAACAGCGGCGGGAGUCGGAGUAGAGUUUGUUACACGAGAACUUAAAGGUUAGUCCGUUAAAGAAGCGUCUUUUUUGUGGUGUAAAUACAAAAAAGUGUUUAAUAUCAGUCAAUAGUUAUUAGUUAUUGAUGACAUUUGGUGAUACAACGAUAUCUCUGUGUUCUCUUAUGUCUGUGUCGUCAACAUUUGAACAUUUUUCUGACUGUAAACAAAGCCGUUCUCCACCUCCUCUAACCUGAUUGGUUGUGAGGCAGACGCUGCUCCCCCGUGUCGUUCAGGAGCCCAAACAAAGUUAGCGUGCUACAAUAUCGGACAGUAGAAACCAACCAGAAAGUUCGGAAAAUUGUCUGAAUCCUCCUUUGGCCACGACUGCCGACACAAGCAAGAAAACAAAGUAAAUACCGGAGACUCUGGAGGAAUAACGGGCGCUUAAAACGGAGGUAGACCGGACAAGAGCUAAAAAGCCGGGUCAACAUAAACCAUGGGGGACGCUUGGGGAUCAUUAAUCAUGAGUGAACUACACCAUUUGAACGAAUAGUGAACUGAAUGAAUAAAUAAUCUUAUGGUCUUAGAGAGUUUGCUCUUUUUUCGGAUGUGGACUCACUCAUCUUCGCUCUGAAUCCACUCAUCUGGUUGAGUGUGGGUUAGGGUGUGGGUCACUGUAUUCGGAGUCGGACUAACGUUAGCUUCCAGCUAGCUGCAACAUGUUUAGCAUUCAGGUGAUACCGGAGUCUUGUUGCAAAUUUCUUCAUUCAUUUUUUGAUCCGCUGGGUGGGACCGGAAUCACUGCUGCACUGACUCACAUUGGGGUGCGCCGUUAAAAGCGGUAUACCUAAAACUCGUCCGGUGAGAAACGUUCCGCAGUGCGAUUAAUAUGCAUAAAGGGAUAUUCGGGCGUAAAACUAAGUUAGAGUCAAACACACCGUAACACAGAGUUAGACCCCCCCUCCAGAGAUGAAUGUUGUCGACCGCUUGCUUCUCUAGUUAUACCAACUUUAGUAACGACUGCAGGAUAGCAAUACAGAGAGCCACGCCCUCAACCAAAACGCCGUCUCGGUCUGAUUGUAUUUCCAUGAAGAAAUUAUAUUCUAUUCAAUUAUUUUAUUCGAUUAGCAUUUAAAAUCCACCCACAACAGAUACAUAGUAAAUUUCAAAAGCAUCAUAAAGCUAAUCGAAAAGGUGUAGGCUGAAGCUCAUGCUUAUUUUGCCUACCCUUUUUACAAAAAACAAAAACUUUAGCAAGGCGACUCUUUAACUACAUGGUCUGAGUUACACCACAAGUCUUCUAAAGAAAAGGGAAAAAGAAAGAGAGAAAAGAUAAAUUCUCAAAAACAUGUUAGAAAAUAAAUAAACCAACAAUAUUCCGUAACAAGUAUACAAACAGACACAACCAAACCAAGAAAUGAUCAUAAAUGUUCUUCCUUGAGCUGCGUCACCCCGCUGUAGUCUGUAAAGGACUGGCCUGAGGUCUCGCUACAAACAAGCAGCUGCUGGAAGAGAGUAGGUGAGUUGUGUUUAGUCUCUUUGCUAAAGAAAUGAGUCAAAGUUAAAAAGAUGUUUGGUGUCUAGUACUAUGGCUGUGACCCUAUAUGUCCUGUUGAUGAAGUUAGGUGCUGUUCUGAGCAUUAUUUGUGGCUAUAGAGUGGCGUUUUGGUUGAGGGCGUGGCUCUCUGUAUUUCUAUCCUGCGGUCGUUACUAAAGUUGGUAUAACUAGAGAAG
rnacentral:lncRNA from 1 species